AGCCUGUAUGAGUUGCCGACAGACAUAGUGAACCCAGAGCAGUGAGGUAACCAGCCCUAUGAGUUGCCAAGAUGAAGAGGAAAUUUAGUUGCGAAGGGCUUUUUUGGCUGCGAACGAGUUGUUAGCUGGUUUCCUGUAUGAAAAACCUCGUGGAUGCUUCGGUUAAUGUUAAGUUACGAUCCUGAUAUUACUAUGUCUGUAUGGGCUAUGGCAUAUUACCACUAACCAGUUACGCAUGGGUUUCUGCAAUUACCAUGGAUGUGGUUAAUAUGUAAGUAGUGUUGGUUGCAUGAUGUGGUUAGUUUCUUUUUGAGCUUAUAAUCUUUCCUAGUUACAAAGAUUUGAGUUGGUGUGGCUGGUGAGUUCACAUGUGGAGCCAUACAAAUAAGCAAAUACUCCCUCCGUUCCUAAAUAUAGAUUUCAACAAGUACUACAUACGGAGCAAAAUGAGUUAAUAUACACUUUAAAACAUGUCUACAUACAUCCGUAUGUGGUAGUUCAUUUGAAAUGCUAGAAAGACAAAUAUUUAGGAACGGAGGGAGUACAUUUCUACCCGCAUGCGAAGACAUAAUAAACAAAUGUUACUUUUAUAAGAUGUGAGACCCAUUCCAAGUAAACAAAUACACUACUCCUCUAAUGUGAGAAUAAUACUCUUGCAAAAUCACGAAUUAUUAAUGCAAGUACACGGCUCCAACUCAAAAUCACGGUCUUGAUUUUAGUUUCUCGGGCUAACCAGUUCUUUUGGUUUUAUACAUAGCACAAGACAACACAUAUGAGAUUUGGAUGGUGGUGCUAUGUGCACCCAGUCUCGAACUCCGGGACGAAAGCCUAGGACAGACCCGAGUGAUUAUUCCUGGCAAUGGCGAUGUUUUUCACAUCGUUACCUUGUUGGAGGCAUUGCUCGGAUAUGUUUGGACUGAUUCUUCAGGGUGAAAACUUUGAUACCGGCCUUUGUGGUUGGUUCCCGUGACGGCGUCGCUUGAGUGUCGCUUCCUUCUUGAAGGCGUUGCUGUUCAAGAUCCUUGUCAUCCAUGUGGUGUCGAUGGUUGGUGCGGAUAUGAUCUCAGUUGUAGUUUGUCGAUCGUUCAUCUAAUCACUUUGAGGCUUAUUUCUUAUUUUUUUUCCCACACCUGCACAUAGCUUUUGGUCUUAUGACUUCGCUAGUCGCCAGUGUGUUUCUAUGUGUGUGUGUUGAGUUGGCUGUGUGCAUCUUAGUUAUGCAGAGGCUGGGUGUGUAUUCAGUAUGAUGUAUCAUCUUGAUGCUUCAUUUGAGCAAAUAAAAUUCACCCUUCGUCGAAAAAAAAGCAUAGCACAAGAGGGCAAACAAAUUGCAAUUUCAACACAGCGAUAGAUGUUGUCCUCCUACCUAACCGAUGAUCUUGUGCAUUCAAUUUACUCAUGCCCAUUCUUCUAUGUUUCAAAAUUGAAAAUGUUAUUUCUCAAUGGAAAUCUUGCGAAGGACCUACUAUGGUUGCUCGAGAUUCUUCAGAGACUGCAACAUGAUCUCUCGUUAUAUUUUCGCUCUCUUUUUAACCGUAGACCAUUCAACAGUCGCAAGACACCAUCAUAUUUUGACAAUCUCCAAGUCAGUUGUAACUCCUUGUCUUUUUAUGACUUUCUAGUAACGCAUGGAUAUUGUGCUAGUUCUCACACAAUUUCGACUGCAAAUGUCUCCAGUUCCAAACAUCAAAAUUCAGGAUUGCACAAAAUAUAUCUAGCUACGGGUUCAAUUGUGAGAACUAAACGAGUUCCUUUUGUAUAUGAAAAUUAAGUUCGCCUGGAUGAAAAUCCUCUCUUUUUUUUAGAAAAAAUCCACAAAGUUUCUUUUGGAAAAGUCUACCUGGAUGUUCUUCCACCUGAGCAUUCCAUCAAGUCACGGUUUUUCUCAGAGAAAGGAUCAAAUCUAUUAUAAAAAUUCCUCGAAAGUACAAAGUAUCUCAAACAUAAUUAAAAAUUACAUCGAGAUUUUAUACCACAGAAGGAUCACUACUGUUGCCAGAACGAGCCACCGGCGCGCCGCUGUCACCGCUCCCCUACCAAAGCCGGCUUGGCCUUGUCGAUGACAACCGUGAUACACAAAAAAGAAGUCCUCGUGCACGUGCCCCUAAGGACCAGCGCCCAGGAGUCGUAGUGGUCACUGUUGAACCUUUUCAUAGAUUCGAAGCAUCUGACACCAAAUCUCGCCACGUGACGAGAAACUCUAACCUCACCUCCCAAAGAGGAUCAAAGCCCGAAAGACAAACUUGAAGAAGAAGCGUCGCCAUCUGUCCGAGUGCCGCACCUGCGAGGACUAAAAAACCCUAACCUAAAUGACUAACCGGAGAGGAGGCACCGGGAUUCUCCUCCCCACCACUGGCCGCCGGAGUGGUAGGCAGAGGGAAUGCGAAUCCACGGGCUCGCUGGUGAAAUCAGGAGGGGAAAGUUUGCACUAGCCGCCUAGGGUUAGGGUAGGAAACGUCGGAUAUCGGGUUCCGGCAAAACCCUUAAGGUUCGAACUCUGGGGUGCGCGUGAAGAUCUUCCCCCUACCGAUCCACGUCCCAACGCCUCGCCACGGAUCUAAGCUACACGAUGAACAACACGAGGUACACAAGGUUUAUACUAAUUCGGGCCACCGUUGUGGUGUAAUACCCUACUCUAGUUUGUGGUGUGGUGGAUUGCCUCUGGGGCUGAUGAUGAACAGUACAAAGGAAGAACAGCCUCGCGAGAGGUGUUCUUGAGCUGGUGCGGUGUUCUACUUGGGCGGAUUUGGUCGCCUCUAGAUGAGAUGAGCUCUGGAUGAUGUGACCCCCCUACUAUGGUGGUGGCUAUCUCUAUUUAUAGAUGCCGUGGUCCUCUUCCCAAAUAUUGAGCGGGAAGGGAGCCAACAACGGCCAUUUUAAAGGGGAACAUCUAGUACAAGUUAUCCUGACUAAAGUUGGUCUUCGACUGCCAAAGGCACUGGUGAUGACGCCGUCUUGGGCUCCAUGGUGACCUCCAUCCUGCCGCUCUGCUGGUCUUGGUCUCGUUGCACCGAUAUGGUAAUCUUUGCUUGAUGCCUCGGUACUCAGCGUCUGCGCUUGCCCCCUUUGCACCAAAGAGGAAACGAGGACACUGCGUAGGCUGGCGCCCGCCUGGUCUCGAUCGUCAUGGCUUGCGUCAUGAGCACCUCGCGAGGUACCCCUGCCUUGAUCUCUCCGCCUCCUCGCGAGCCUGCCUGGUGAGGCCGCCCCUGAGGAAGCCUUGCGUCAUCCGCCCCGCGAGGUUUGGCCCCUCGCGAGGGUCUUGAGCUUGGGUUGAUGAAGACGGGCCGUACUGGGCCACUGGUUGAGCCACGCAGCAGGCCACAUGCAGGCAAGUUUGGGGACCCCCAUUCCCAGAACGCCGACAGUAGCCCCCGGGCCCAAGGCGCGCUCGGACUUGGCUUAGCAGCAAAGCCAAAGGGCAAGUGUGGAGCGCCGCGGGCCCCAACAGCCUGUGGCCUUGGUCGCCGCGUGGCAGUUGAUUGGACGUGGGAAUCUCCGCUUUCCCACGCUGCCUCGGCAACUGCUUGGCUGACAAAAGGCUGGCCUGGGUUAGGCUUACCUUCAUUGCUCUCACUCGCCUUGCUCCAGAUCCCCUUUCUUGCUCUUGCCCUCCUGCUUCCGAAAUCUCCAAAUCCGCCUCAUCCUUCCUCCUCCAGCGAGCAAUGGUGCCCCGCAAGACCGCGGCCGAGGCUCCGCCGACCUGGUACUCGCCGACUCUGGAUCCCCCCAACAUGACGGAGAAGAAUCUCGCCCUCACGCGCCUGAUGACGGUGGCGCAAGGCAGCGAGAUGGGGGAGACUGCGCUCCGAGCCGGCUCUGCCCAGCCGGAGGACAAGGGGAGCACCUUCUAUCCCUUCUUCAUGAGCACCGUCAUCACCGGCCGGGUGCCUCCUUUCUCCUAGUUCUUCUAUGCUGUCCUCCGCCAUUAUAAGCUGCAGGCUCUGCAUCUCCAUCCCAACUCUGUUCUCCUUCUGUUGAUUUUCGCCUACUACUGCGAGGCACACGUCGGGUUGAUGCCUUCUGUGGCCUUGUUGCGCUACUUCUUCUCCCUCCGAGUUACCGGCACCCAUACCUCAGCGUGUGCAGGCUUCGUUGUGUGCUCCAAAGCCAACGCGAUCUCGAAGGCCGAGAAGAGGGCCGAUGGCUUCCGGAGCAAGUGGGUCAUGUUGGAUGCCGGAUGCAUCAAUUCUCGGCUGGCGCUGCCCAUGGAGCAGCCCUAGGCUGACGAGGCAUGGUCCCGUGUGAAGCUUGACGACCGACGGGCGAAGCUGGUGCUGGAGAAGAUGAACGCCAACCUGAGGCCGAGCAACAUGAAGGCGGCGAAGCUGACCGGGGCCACGCUCCUGAGGGAGUUCCUGGCGCACCGGGUGGCUCCACUUCAGGCGCACUCGCGCCCGUUAUGGAGGCUCGGAGAUGCGGACGCCGAUCUCCGCCUGAACUCGAAGGCUCUGGUUGAUGAAGAUAUGACCGCAGCUCUCCGCUUCCUGGUUGGAGAGGAUGUGGAUGGUCUGGAGGGCGCUCAUGUCCCCUUGUUCCUUCGCGACGACUGGGAACAGGUGGUGAACGCCAUACCCACCUUCAAUGGGAGCGUCCUGGUGCCGGAGGUGCCUCCUGAGGGCCAGGAGGUGGCGGCGCCGGUGGAGUUGUCCUCCGAUGAUUCCCAUGGAGGAGAGGAGGAAGAUGAGGAAGAGGAGGAGCGUGACUCGGAGGCGACCACUGAGGAGACGGGGGAGACUUCCCCCUGGCGCAGGUCCAAUGUCCUCCGCUCCAUGCCGGACGACGACGAGGCCGACACCAGGCGAGGGGGAGAGGACCCGCCCGUGAUCCCGAAGAAGGACAGGUCGGGGAUGAUCUCCCGAGGGUCUACUCUGGCUCCGGCACUGCCCGAAGCUAGCUCCAGCCCUUCUGGUGCGCCCCCCUCUACUGCUGGACCUCCCGAGGCUGCGCCCUGCAAGAGGCUCUCGGGCUUUAAGCUCGGCAGGAGGCCGUUGGAGCACACCACAAUUGACCAGUAAGUACUCGAACUCUGCUUUGCUCUUAUUUCCGCUGUCAGGGCUUGACAUCCUCCAUCGCCUGGGUAGGUUGCCGCCUAUGGAGAAGAGGCUGAAGGGGGACACGGUGGCUCCGCUUGGGUCAAGCUCGUCUGUCGUGGUCGCGCCUUCGCCUGUGGGAAGGGGAGGCAGUGGAGCUCGCACCUUCCCUGCCCGGUCGUUCUCGCGAGGCCAGGGACGCUCUGGCGGGGUGCCAGCCCCCGUGGCCCCGUUGAAUCUGGAGGCGCCAGUGCUUGAUGCUGUCGCCGAGGUUGCCAAGGCUCAGGAGCUCCCAGCCUCCCAGGCCGUGAUCACGCUACCAUCUUCUCCUCCUGCUCCACUGGUUCCUGACUCCUCUGCCUCCUCCGCCACCUUGGACCGCGCUGCUGCUGAGCUGGGUCGGCUGCGAGAAGAUCUCCAGGGCGCCAACCCCCGCCUGGUGGCCGGGCGCCUGGAGCUGGUCUCUGGCUGGGUUCACUCUGACGCCUCCGUCCGAGCGGCGCUGCGCCAGGUUGUGGCGGCUUCCGAGGAGGAGAAGCAAGUCGCCAUCUAGGCCAUAGCCGCUCGUGACGCAGUGUUGAAGGAUGCUUCAACUGUCCGGGGCUGUUGCAAGGCGCUGGAGGACAAGCUGCAAGGCCUGCGUGAUGAGCUUGCCAAAGAGGUCCGCGACCGCCAGGCGAAGGAGGAAGAAAUGAAGGCUCGGGAGGCCGCCAUCGGGGACCGCGAUACUGAACUGACCGCUGAUCACGGCCCGCUGAGGACUCUGGAGUAGAAGUGAAGGCGGAGAGGACUGAGCUGGACGUCAAGGUGAAGGUCUUGGCCAAGGAUCGCGUGGCCUUCGUGGAUUACAAGGAGAGAUAUCGCAGGGCGCUGAAUUUGCUUUACGAUGAUGGUCUGGAGAAGCCACUGGCCGGAGCCACGGACGGCCCUGCCAAGCUGCUUCCCUUCCUGGUCAAAGCGCUUGAGGAGGUCGUGACCGGCAUUGGUCCCAUGGCCGAGGUUGAAGCUCGCGUCCUUUCCUCCACAGCGCUGACGCGGAUCCUCAGCCACGUCUACCUUCACAACCCCGACGCCAACCUUGACGAUCUGCUGGAGCCUGUGGACGCCGAGUGCUCCGCUGCUGCUGCUGAGGCCGUGAAGGGCCGAGCGAAAGCCCUGCUGGCAAAGUUCCGCACCUUCGCCACUGCGCCCAAGGCAGGUGAUGCUGGUUCCGCGGCCUCGGGAGGUGGAGCUGACAAGCACGACUCCACCACGAGUGACGGUGCUGCUCAAGGGUGAUCUCCUGCGGUCUCUUUCUUGUGUCUACUCGUGCAACAUGCACCGUGCCUCGUGGAGGCAUUUAAACUUGUGUCUGGUAUCGUGAGGACAAUUUAUGGUUUGUAAUAUUUGCUUCUGAAUUUGCAAGAUUUUGCGGUUUCCUUCCUAUUUCCUUUGUGUUUUAUGUCCGUAGGGCCCGGCCCCAUGCAUACCUCAUCUGUCGUUAGCCCUGACUGGAUCACCAGGACGGGACCAAGGAGUGAGGGGCUAUGUGGCAAGUUAGGCUCAUGAGUCGCGAUGCUCAGGAGUCCCCCUUGAUGCGCAAACAGCAAAUAGGGAGGGGUGCAGGAGUAGAUCUGUCGUUCUACGUCAGCAGGGCCUGGCCCUGCGCAUACCUCAACCGUCGUUAGCCUUUCGGAACUAAGGAGUGAGGGGCUACGUGACCAGUUAGGCUCAUGAGUAGCAAUGCUCAGGAGUCUCCCGUGACGCUCAAACGGUCUUCGUACCUUGGCUCCGCUCGGGGAGGCCGCGCGACGACCAGGUCUGAGGGACCUGGCUGGGUGGCGUGCGCUCGGGCGUGAACCGGGCGCAGCCCCUGUGUCUAGCCCCCUCGUGUGGUGCUCCCGAGGGGAGGCGUUGUGAUGAGGCCAGACACUGAGCUCUGGGCUCCCUGAGGUUGAUAUAGCCAUGGGCUGCCCUUAGUUGUUUAUCACCAGCGCGGAGCAUAGCGCUUCCAUAUGUGUACGGGCAUAGCCGCUCCUCGGCAGUGUCGUCAGCCAGCAUAGAGCAUGGUGCUUCCACUGGUACGUGGGAGGGGCCCCCUCCAGGAGGAGCCCCUGGGGCAUGUACAACCCCGCCUUGACACGUGGCCAGCACGGUAGGGCUAGACAGGUGUAUCUGGGCACUCGUGAGCUAGCGCGGGACUCAUGAGGCCCUACCUCAAGGCUGGUUGCGCCUGAUCUUGAGCCUUGGGCGGCUGAGUGUUCCUGCAAGGCGGUUAGAUGCAAAUUCUUUACGUCCUCAGGUCCCGGCCCUCGAGCAAGCUCAGCUGCCGCUGGCAUGCUAGGUCGCGAUGCUGUGGACAAGGCCAGGGGGUGAGGGCUGGAGAGCCAGUAAGAGCCCCUAAGUCGCGAUGCUCAGGCACCCCCCUUUUAACGUGCAAGCGAUUUGCAUGUGGGAGAACAGAAAGGGGCUGCGGUAGGUGGGACAUAAUGAUCAUAGGCAGGUUAAACAUGAAAGGCAAAUCAGCUUAGAUAACUGCAGGAAGGAUACAUGCCACUGGGUCAGGCCCGGGCGGCUUGGGGAUGAUGCAGCCCGAGGGGCGCCCCCAGCAAGGUGAACUACAAACAUAAGCAAAAGAGAUACAUGCCGCAGGGACUGACCCACACGACCUGGGAAUAAUGCAGCCCUAAGGGCGCUCCCAGCUGAAAUGAAACUCGAAAGAUGUCACCUGAUACCAUUGUAGAGCUGGUGUUGAAGUAGCUGACGAUGCGCGGUGAAGAAGCCGAUCCUCACGAGCCACCAGAGCCCUGAGCCUCGAGAGGCUCCGGGGGUCCGGGCGGCUCCUCGAGGACCAUCUCCGUCUUUGCCAGGACUGCGUGGUGCCUGGCCUCGUGAGCUACCAGAAUGCUCCGCAUAAGAUGCUGGUGAGUAGCGGCCGCGUUUGGCAGGCUGAAAGGCAUGCAAACGUAGCUAUGUGGCGGACCCUCGCAGCGUCCCACGCACGAAGGCCAGAAACGCUCUUGAGACGCGACUCGGUUGAGCCUUGGGUAGUCCAUGUAUACGCGCAACCCGCCAUCCUCGCCUGGAUGGGGAGCUGCGCCAGGUAGGUGGCGAUCACCGCGUAUGACUCUUGAUUCCUACAGCUCCUGAGUGACCUUGCUGAUGAACUCCUGAGGGUUGGGCCCUCCUUGCCCCAUGCCUUCCUGAGGGAAACGUGCCGCAAAGCACGCCUCCAAGUGGUGCCCGAGCGCCUCCCUUGUGAUCCUGGCAAAGUCUGAGGCCCUCCAGGAGAGAGCCCCCGAUCCUUGCCCGAGGAGGGCGCCGGGCGCGCCUUCCUAUGCGAUGGAGGGAGGCGCCCCUUGAACGGGCACUGAUCCUGACAUGGCGCCUCCGGAGACGCCUACCUCCUGAGGCCUUGAGCUGGGUGAUGUCUUCUUCUUCUUGGGAACUGCCUCAGGAGGGUUCCCACUCUUGCUAUUCGGGUCCUCGACUGAUGCAGCUUGGAAGGCACGCUCGAGGGAGCACACCGCAUCCUUCUCCUCGCAUGGGACUGUGAUGAUUCUGCCGCUUCUCGGCAUCUUAAGGACAUUGUAACCAUGGUGAGUCACCGCCAUGAACUUGGCCAGGGCUGGAUACCCGAGGAUGGCAUUGUAUGGCAGGCGAAUGUGGGCAACGUCGAAGUCGAUGAGCUCGGUACGGCAGUUCUUGCGAUGUUCGAAGGUGACAGGGAGGCGAACCUGCCAUAUCGGAGUGGUGGAGCCAUCAGUGACUCCUGAGAAAGGCUUGGUUGGCUGAAGCUGAUCAUAUGGUACUUGGAGAUUGUUGAACGCCUCGACGGACAGGACAUUGAGCCCUGCGCCGCCAUCGAUGAGGGUCCUGGUAACUUGCACAUUGCUGAUGACUUGGGAACAAAGCAUUGGGAGGACCCCAGCUAUAGCAGCACACUUGAGUUGAUCCGCUGAGCUGAACGUGAUGGCGCACGUGGACCACCUGAGAGGGCGCGUGGCCUCGAGCUUGGGGAGAACUGCAUUCACCUCGCAAGCAAACUGCUUGAAGAUGCGCUGAGAGGCUGGGGCCUGGGCACCGCCCAGGAUGCAAGCGAUAGCACGUGGCUCAUGGCUCAUGGAAGCCCCCAGCCCCCUCGUCCUGGUGGUGGUCGUCAUUCCUUCUUUACGGUGGUGGCAGAGGAGGAAGGCUUGCAUUGCCCUGCGGGCGAUCCUCGCGAGGCUGAUCUGUCACGCCCAAUAUGUGAUACUAUCCUAAAGAGACUCGAAGGUCCCACCAAGGAUAGAACCGCAUAUUGAAACGCUUUUGCAAGGUGGAUAUCAUUACAUCAACAUUACAUAAUAGAUGGGGAUACAUACAAGAGGCAAACAAUGCCACAUGAAUACAACAUCAAUACAUCAUACAUAAUAGCAUCAUCCGACUACGGAUGAAACACAAAUAGAAACUCAAACGACAUCCACCCUGCUAGCCCAGGCUGCCGACCUGGAACCUAUCCCCUGAUCAAAGAAGAAGCAGAAGGAGAACUCCAAAGCAAGCAAGCAUCUCUCUCGUGUCAUGAACAUCGCAUAACCUGUACCUGCAACUAUUGUUGUAGUAAUCUGUGAGCCACGAGGACUCAGCAAUCCCAUUACCAUGGGUAUCAAGACUAGCAAAGCUUAAAGGGGAAGGAAGGGGUAAAGUGGUGAGGCUACAGCAGCAACUAAGCAAGUAUGGUGGCUAACAUACGCAAAUAAGAGCGAGAAGAGAGCAAGUAGAACGAUCGUGAAGCUAGCAAUGAUCAAUAAGUGAUCCUGAACUCCUACUUACGUCAAACAUAACCCAAAACCGUGUUCACUUUCCAGACUCCGCCGAAAAGAGACCAUCACGGCUACACACGCGGUUGAUGCAUUUUAAUUAAGUCAAGUAUCAAGUUAUCUACAACCGGACAUUAACAAAUUCCCAUCUGCCCAUAACCGCGAGCACGGCUUUCGAAAGUUUAUACCCUGCAGGGGUGUCCCAACUUAGCCCAUGAUAAGCUCUCACGAUCAACGAAGGUUAUACCUUCUCCCAGGAAGACCCGAUCAGACUAGGAAUCCCAGUUUACAAGACAUUUCGACAAUGGUAAAACAAGACCAGCAAAGCCGCCCGAUGCGCCGACAAUCCCGAUAGGAGCUGCACAUAUCUCGUUCUCAGGGCAACACCGGAUGAGCAAUCCGUACAACUAAAACCAGACCUCAAGUUUCCCUGAGGGGGCGCUGCAAAGGGCUCUGGUUUGGACCAAUACUUAGACAAGCACUGGCCCGGGGGGCUAAAAUAAAGAUGACCCUCGGGCUCUAGAAACCCAAGGGAAAAAAGGGGUAGGUGAGGCAAAUGGUAAAACCAAGGUUGGGCCUUGCUGGAGGAGUUUUAUUCAAAGCGAACUGUCAAGGGGGUCCCAUAAAUCACCCAACCGCGUAAGGAACGCAAAAUCCGGGAACAUAACACCGGUAUGACAGAAACUAGGGCGGCAAGAGUGGAACAAAACACCAGGCAUAAGGCCGAGUCUUCCACCCUUUACCAAAUAUAUAGAUGCAUUAAUAAUAUAAGAGAUAUUGUGAUAUCCCAACAUAAUCAUGUCCAUCAUGGAGCAAACUUCAACUUCACCUGCAACUAACAACGCUAUAAGAGGGGCUAAGCAAAGCGGUAACAUAGCCAAGCAAUGGUUUGCUAGGAAGGGUGAAAAGGUUAGAGGCUGACAUGGCAAUUGGGAGGCUUGAUGAGCAAAUGAUAGGUAGCGCAGCAAAGCGAUAGAACGGAGCAACUAGCAUAGCAAUGAUAGUAGUGAGAUCCAGGGUAGCGGUCAUCUUGCCUGAAAUCCCGCUAGGAAGAAGAACGAGUCCAUGAAGAAGACGAACGGGAGUAGUCGAACGAAUCCUCACAAUCGCAACAUUACUGGAAUUAAGAAGCAACACCGGAAUGAAACAAACAACAUGGUAAAUGCACGAGCAUAAACAUGGCAUGAUGCACAAACAAGUAUGAUGCAUGUCCGGUUUAAUAAGGCAUGGCAUGGCAAAUUGCAACACACAAUACUACAAGUUAAGUGGAGCUCAAUAUGCAACGAGUUGCAUAUUGACGAAACACCACAUCUGAGUUAUUUAGUUUGCUCUCGUUUAGGUACACAACAAUGUUAAAUGUUGUUAAACAUGGAAAGGGGUGAAGCAUAUGAAAAUUACCUAUCUAGGCAAGUUUAAAUGAGGCCGGAACAAUGAACAACAAUUCCGGAAAAUCCCCAUAUGCCUAUUUUAGAUUCCGUACUGUUCUGCCCUAAAACAUAUUUUAUUGUUGUUAAACAAGAAAAUAAAGUGCACCAUGUUAAACUAGGCAUUUUUCCACCCCAUUUACAUAUAAAGUUUAUUUAAAACCGAGCUACGGUUAUUUAGUUAUGAAUUAAAUCAUUUUAACAUGGCAAUUGAGCAAAUUUAAACAAACAACAUUUUAAACAUUUCAAACAUGGAUGAAAGUGGCUAAAUAUGAAACUAGAUGAAAUUCUAAGCAUUUUACAUGUUGGAAUCAUUUUAAUAUGAUGCAUGGCUUGUGAGAUAUUACAUGCAUGAACAUGAGGGUCUUUUCUGAAAACAGUAAAACACUGGAUAAAUCCUAAAAUCGCAAAGACUAGAAAAAAACACUACUGGGCUGAACUGUUGGGCGCUGGGCUGCUCACCUAGCUGGGCUAGGCCCAGAUCGGUGGAGGUGGGAGCUGGCUGGGCCAGAUCUGGAGUCCAGCAGGCCGGAUCUGGAGGUGCGCUGGGACUUGGAGGCCGGCCACGCUGGCGCUUGACCAAGUCAACGAAGGGGCAGCGCUGGCCGUCUCGUUCGUGAAGCAGGGGACGGCGGCUGGCGAUGCGGGAUGCAGGGCAUGGCGGCAACCUCCGGCGAUGAGUGGAUGGACGAGGGGGACGGAUCCGGUGGCGUCAGGGUGUUGCGGACGAGGACCGGCGUCAGGGAUGUGCUCCGGUGAGCUACGGCGUGGACAACGCGAGCGAGCAGGGAAGACCGCUCAGUCGAUCUGGAGGCAAGCGGCGGCUUGGCAUCCAUGGCGGCGCUGCUGCGGCAGCACGGGCACAGUUUGCGGAAGAAUGGGGCGGCAACUGGUUAGGAGCGUCAACGACGAAGCAGGCGACGGCUGGGGAACGAGGCAAAACUCGGGCGCGGUCAUGGCGUUCCUGUGCAUGCGAGAGAGAUCAGAGGAGGAAGGAGAGGGGAAAAAAGAAGAGAAAGAGGAGAUGAGCGGCGACUCAUCUGCUCGUCGGCAGCAGCUAAACGGAGGCGGCCGGACCUGGAGGUCGAGGUCACCGGUGGGCUGGGUCACCGGAACGGCGUGGUGAUAAGGCCAUCCAUGGCCUCUGGUACGGCAGGGCAGAGGAGUUGGAUCGGGGCUCCUUUUCCCCCGAUCGAGCUCGGCUAAGGAGCGAUUGGGCUUGGGCGGAGCAAGGCUGGGGUGCUGCAGGAGUAUCCCGAUGGAGAGGUGGAGUGGAAGGAGAGGUGGCUAGCUCGGGUUGGUGUAGUGAUGAACACGAGGAGGGGAUGGAAUGGGUUCGAGCGAUGGGGAUCACGAGGUGGGAGAUGAGUGCGGCGGCGGCGGCAGGGACAAACUUCCUAGAUUUUAGGGUUAGGCUAGAGUUUGGUCCGGUGUAUAUAUAGCAGGUGGACUAGUCUUAGGGCUAUCUCGUUCCUCCGAUUGUAAUCGGACGGUCGCGAAUAAAUAGGCUAGGGAGUCCAAAUAAGAAAACAGAGAUAUUUUACGGAUGUUAGGGGAUGAUACGAAUCCAACGGAGAUGACUGAGCGGGUCAGGUUCGGGGUAGGUUUCGGACACGCGCAAGAGGGGGUCGAUGGUUGUGUAGAGAGGUUAGGUGGUCAGACAAGAGGGACUCGAGAAACCCGGUUGGUCUCGGAACGGUCAACGAAGGCAAAGGGGUUUGAUGAGCUCAGAAAAGAGAGAGAAGAGAGUGGUCCGGUUGAUCUGAGAGAAGGUCAGCUGAGACACGGAAGAAGCGGCAACUACGAGCAGAUGCAAGUUUUAAAACAUGACGGCAACGGAGUGCCGAUGCAAUGCGAAUGAUGCGAUGAUGAAAUGCAAGACAUGAACAAGAUGCAAAACAAAAAAACAAAAACCCAACCAUGGAGGAAAAUAACAUAUCGCAUCUCCGGAAAAGGCAAGAGUUGGAGUUAUGAAUAUGGAAAGUUGUAUCUGGGGCGUUACAUGAUCCCUCCAAGCCCCCUCGCGAGGCUGGUCCUGCCAGCGAUCCUCGCGAGGUCGGUCACGCCACUCCUGGCGAGGGUCUCGGUCGUCCCAUCGUCCUCCACCUCUUCCUCCUCCUUGGCCGUAGCCCCGAUCGUUGCGCUCGGGGCGUCGGCCGAUGCGUCCUUCUCGAACGGCCCUGAGCUCUUGGCAUUCGUUGGGGUUGUGGGUGUGGAGGUCGUGGUAGGCGCAGUAUCGACUGCCCUUGGACGACUCCGACUGGUCCCUGGCGUGCUUCGUGUCUGGUUCUGCUGCGAGCACAGUUGCUCCUUUGUGCUUCACGUCCUUGGCCUUGGCUUUCUUCUCUUCUGGGUCCGCAGCUGGAAGCUCGAGAAGAGAGAGGCGCCCCUCCUCAGCUCUUGCGCACUUGGUCGCCAAGUUGAACAGCUCCAGAGAUGUGCACAUAUCCUCGUGAAUGGCCAGCUCCUCCUUCAUCUUGACAUCGCGGACGCCGUCAGAGAACGUUGAGAUGAUGGCCUCCUCGGUCACCUUGGGAAUCUUGAGGCAAGCGAUGUUGAAGCGCUGGAUGUACUUCUGCAGGGUUUCUCCAGGUUGCUGCUUGAUGCGGUGCAGGUCACCCACGACUGGAGGACAGUCGCGAGUGUCCUGGAAGUUGGCGAUGAAGCGGGUGCGCAUCUCGUCCCAAGAGGAGAUCGUGCCUGGAGGCAGGUUCGGGAGCCAGGUGCGGGCACCAUCCUUGAGUGCCAUGGGAAACCAAUUCGCCAUGACCUUUUCGUCUCCAUUGGCCGCCUCGAUGCCCAACUCAUAGAGCUACAGGAACUCCACGGGGUCGGCAGUGUCGUCGUAGCGAGGAGGCAGAUCUGGUUUGAGCUUGCCCGGCCAGGCGACACUGCGUAGCUCGGUGGUGAAGGCGUGGCAGCCUGCGGUAACCACCGGAGCCCUUUGCAGACGUGGGGCUUUCUCCUGGGGAUUCCCGCGCACCGUCGCCAGGGGCAACGUGGGGUCUUGACAUGCUGGCGCCGGGAUGCGGUCUUGGCAUGCUGGAGCAGGGAACACACGAGCGCCUUCUUGGGGACGAGGGAUUUCUUGGCAGCUCCUUUCUUGUCGCACAGGCGCUGGACGCGGUGGGUCUCGUCCAGGGGCCGUGUGCCUUGGAGCCAAGGCACCUUCUUGGGGAGGAGGUGGCGGAGGCACCUCCUGAGCUGCAUCGCCCACGCAGGACGGAGGGCGAGGCAGCGAGAGGAACGGCGUAGGGGAGCCCCCUGCGGCGCUGACGAGCUUGGUGAUGCGAGCAAGCCACUCCUCGUAGAGGUCGUCGACGGGGCGGCGGUGCAGGAGCUCAUGUGCCAGGAGCAGCGCGGCCUGCGUGUCCGUGGGAGCGCGGCAAGCGUGAGACGACGAACCAGCUGGAGUUAGCGACGGAGUGGCCGUGCGGCCUUCCUGACGCAUCGAGGGAUGCAGCGACAAUGGCUGCUACUCGUUCCCCGCCGGGCCGGUGGCGGCGUUGGCGGCAGGCGACCGAGAACGACGAGGAGGCCCGCCGACAGGAGCCGUCUGGGCGACGCGGGUGGCGAGAGCAGCUCGACGCUCGGCGCGGGCUCAAUGAGCGUCCGCCAUGGACGUGACGAACGACGGAAAGUGGAAUAGCAGAAGAAAGAUUCUGGUGCACCCCUACCCGGCGCGCCAAAUGUCGGAUAUCGGGUUCUGGCAAAACCCUUAAGGUUCGAACUCUGGGGUGUGCACGAAGAUCUUCCCCCUACCGAUCCACGUCCCAACGCCUCGCCACGGAUCUAAGCUACACGAUGAACAACACGAGGGACACAAGGUUCAUACUAGUUCGGGCCACCGUUGUGGUGUAAUACCCUACUCUAGUUUGUGGUGUGGUGGAUUGCCUUUGGGGCUGAUGAUGAACAGUACAGAGGAAGAACAACCUCGCGAGAGGUGUUCUUGAGCUGGUGUGGUGUUCUACUUGGGCAGAUUCGGUCGCCUCUAGAUGAGAUGAGCUCUGGAUGAUGUGAUCCCCCCUACUGUGGUGGUGGCUAUCUCUAUUUAUGUAGGCGCUGGUCCUCUUCCCAAAUAUUGAGCGGGAAGGGAGCCAACAACGACCAUUUUAAAGGGGAACAGCUAGUACAAGUUAUCCUGACUAAAGUUGGUCUUCGACUGCCAAAGGCACUGGUGAUGACGCCGUCUUGGGCUCCAUGGUGACCUCCAUCCUGCCGCUCUGCUGGUCUUGGUCUCGUUGCACCGAUAUGGUAAUCUUUGCUUGAUGCCUCGGUACUCCGCGUCUGCGCUUGCCCCCUUUGCACCAAAGAGCAAGCGAGGACACUGCGCAGGCUGGCGCCCGCCUGGCGCCCACCUGGUCUCGAUCGUCAUGUCUUGCACCAUGAGCACCUUGCGAGGUGCCCCUGCCUUGAUCUCUCCACCUCCUCGCGAGCCUGCCUAGUGAGGCCGCCCCUGAGGAAGCCUUGCAUCGUCCACCCCACGAGGGUCUUGAGCUUGGGUUGAUGAAGACGGGCCGUAUUGGGCCACUGCUUGAGCCAAGCCGCAGGCCACAGGCAGGCAAGUCUGGGGACCCCCGUUCCGAGAACGCCGAUAGGAAAUGAGACGAAGUAUCAUGAUAUAUCCUGUUUCCUUCUUCCAGUCAAAGACACGGCUCAUCAUCAAGUUGUGGUUGACAUGACAAGAAUUAUAGUAUCAUACAAUGGUGGAUGGGAGCCGACAACAGAUGUGUCUGCGGACACGCACAUGGAUGUUGAUAGUUAUAGGAAUACAAAAUAGGUCACGGGGCUCUCUUAGCCAAAGAUGACGACCCUGAUCUAAACAGUGAGAAAACUAUUGUGAGCUUCUGUAAGGGCAUAUUUCUCCCUAAGUGGUUUUGGUGAUUGAUGACAGCGCAUUUGCGGACUAAUCGUGUGCAUUGAGCAUUUCAGAUAUCUCAUGUCUAGGCACAAGACAAUUGGGUGCCCCUCGGAGCCUAUCGAAGAUGGCGGUUCUCUACGUUUCUUUUCAGUGGAUUUGAGUCAUAGGAAAGCCAUACUAUUAAGAGGGGGUCCGCUUCGGAAAGGUUAGGGUGGAAUCAACACGUACACAUCUGUUACUUUGCACCACCUUUCCUUCACGUUGAUGGAGCACUAUCCGUUUAUCCAUGUGUCCGCGAGAUGAAGGCUGCCGAAUGCUAAAGCUUUUGUGGCGUGUGGUUGUACUGCUCAGGUGAGCAGUAGUACCGCAGGGGCCGGUAGUACUGCUCCUAGUGAGCGGUAGUACCGCUGUCUCCAGCCCUGAUGCUCACGCACGCGGAAAUUGGCGCGGAUGUAAUUUUUUACAUCUGUCCGGGAGCGGUAGUACCGCUCCCUGUGAGCGGUAGUACCGUGCCGGAUUUUUGCACAGCUCCAACCUCGGCAGAAGUUGUUACGAAGGUAAUUUAUUACUUUCGUGCAUUUCCAGUGCCAGUUGAGCCCUGCCUUAUGAUGGUACCGUAGGGGCACGCGGUAGUACUGCUCCGGCAGUUCUACCGCUCAUUGCCCUGUGCAACAGGCCCUCACCUGGUCAUUGCCGCGCUAGCGGUAGUACCGCACCCUGCAGCGGUAGUACCACAACCCUUUCCUGUAGUACUGCGGCUCUAUGAGGUAGUACCACGCCGCGCGGGAUGAGAGAGGGGAUAACGGUUGGAUCUUUUCCCCCACUAUAUAAAGGGGGUCUUCUUCCCCAAGAAGAUCACCUCUUCCCUCCCCAAACUCCAUUGUUGCUCAAACCUCCAUUUUCGCCCGAUCUCUCUCCCUAGCCAAUCACACUCGUUGAUUUCCUAGGGGAUUGGUUGAGAAGGCCCUGAUCUACACUUCCACCAAGAGAAAUUUGAUUCCCCCCACUAAUCCCUUGCGGAUCUUGUUACUCUUGGGUGUUUGACCACCCUAGACGGUUGAGGUCACCGCGGAGCCAUAUUCCAUUGUGGUGAAGCUUCAUGGUGUCAUUGGGAGCCUCCAAUUAAGUUGUGGAGAUAGCCCUAACCUUGUUUGUAAAGGUUCGGUCGCCGCCUUCAAGGGCACCAAUAGUGGAAUCACGGCAUCUCACAUUGUGUGAGGGCGUGAGGAGAAUACGGUGGCCCUACUGGCUUCUUGGGGAGCAUUGUGCCUCCACACCGCUCCAACGGAGACGUACUUCCUCUCAAAGGGAAGGAACUUUCGUAACACAUCAUCGUAUUCACUGGCUCCACUCUUGGUUAUCUCUUACCUUUACUUGUGCAAGCUUGUAUUGUGUUGUAUCCCUUGCUUGCUCGUGUGCUUGUUUUUGUUGCAUCAUAUAGGUUGCUCACCUAGUUGCACAUCUAGACAACCUACUUUGAUGCUAAGUUUAAUUUGGUCAAGAAAAGCUAACAAUUUUUAGUUGCCUAUUCAACCCCCCCCCCAUCUAGUCAACCAUAUCGAUCCUUUCAAUUGGUAUCAGAGCCUCGUCUCUUUAUUAAGGACUUUACCAUCCGAAGAGUAUGGGUGACAUCGUAGACAAGGGGGAGGAGCACCCCGGUGUGAGUCCGUCCUUGCCUAAGGCCGAUGUUUGAUCCUCGGUCUCUCUGAGGAGUUCAAUGCGGCUUUGGACGCAUUGAAAACCUCCAUGGCGGCCGAGGUUAAAGGCAUGUUUAAGGAGUUUCUUGAAGGUCUUAAAUUAUCCACAUUGGAAGUGGUUGAUCCCGCUAACAAGGUGUCGGAUGCUAACUCCAAUAAGGGGGAAGCUAGUAGUGACCAAGUUCCUUUGCCUAGUGGUAAGAGUGGGAGUGGCAUCUUUGCCCAUGUUAAACCUCCCCUUACCUAUGGAGGACCGGUUCCCUCCAUGCAUAUGAAUCAUGUUGGUCCUCCUCCUAAGCUUGUGAAAAAUGAGGAUUUUGCAGCUUGGGUGUAUCGCUUUAAACGUCAUUUAAAUCAUAGUUCUACUAAUUUUUGGAGAAUUAUUGAGCAAGGUUUCUACCCGCACGAUCCAAGCAACCUCACUACUAGAGAAGCCGUGGAUCAUCAAUUUAACGAGUCCGCUCUCUUCAUUAUCCAAGAAGCUAUUCCUCCCAAAGAUAUUGCACAUCUCCGAACCUUCACCAUGGCCAAGGAAGCAUGGGGGCAUGUUGUAUCCUUAUACAAGGGAAGCGCAAGCACCCAACGCUCAAACUUUGAAGUGGUGCAAGAUGAAGCCGUUGAGUCUACCAUGAUUGAAGAUGAAGAACCUCGAGAGCUUUAUCGAAGGUUAACCACUCUCGCGGUCUCACUCUGAGAUCAUGGGAGCAAGGAUACGGAUGACAAUUGGAUCAAGCGCAAGUUUCUCAAAGCCAUGAUGCCUUACCAUAAGGCCAUGUCCUCCAUCAUCUGUCAAAGGCCGGACUUCCACGCCCUGUCCUCAAGUGAAGUGUUGGAUGAGUUUGUUGCAAUGAGGAUCUUGGAUAAGACUGUCGACAAUGCGGUGUUGCGUGCUCAAUGAUCAAAGAAGUCCAACCUUGCUUUGAAGGCCAAGGCUAGUGUGGAAGAAGAGGAUGAAGAGGAAGAAGAGGAGAUCUAGUUGCCCUGAAGACACCCAAUAUGCCUAUCAUGAGCACAUGGCUCUUGCUUCACGUCAAUUUUGGGGCAACAAGAAGAACACAAGGCCCAACUUCAACAAGAACAACUCAAGUGGCGCCAAGAGCAAGCAACGUGUGAGGACGUGCUAUAAUUGUGGCAAUGUGAGUCACUUUGUUGUGGAUUUCCCUUACGAGAAGAGGGAAGACAAUGGUGGCAAGCAUAUCCUAAAAGACAAGGCCAAGUCUUUCCCCAACAAGAACAACUUCACCAAGAAGACUCCUCCCAAGGGGUUGGUGGCACAAUAAGAGUACAAUGAGGAUUAUGGUGAUGAUGAAGAUGGUGAGACGGUUGCCAUGGCCUCCGUUGCCGUUGCAACAACUCAACGGGUGUCCCUCUUCGAUUCACCCAACGAGAACAUCAUCACCAAGUGGCUCGUGGCUAAAGCCACCAACAAGGUAACCCCCAACAUCAAAACUACCAUCACUACUAAUCCUUCCUUGACAGAUUGCAUUGAUGAAAGUGAGGGCAUGAAGGAGCAGGAAAAUGAAUUUGAGUCUUUCAUGAGUAAGCUCAAAGGUAAAACCAAGAAGUACUUUGUUGCUCUCUUGGAACAACUUGGUGAAGCCAAUGACAUGAUCGAGGCUCACGAAGAGACCAUCUCUAAGAUGGAAGAGCAUAGUCGUGACUAUGCCAAUGAGAUGUCGGAUCUCUCUAAUGCGCUUGAGGAAGAGCGUAAUCAUCGUUUGGAUCUUGAGGAGUCACAUGAUACGUCUCCAACGUAUCUAUAAUUUUUUAUUGUUCCAUGCUAUUAUAUUACCCGUUUUGGAUAUUUAUGGGCUUUACUUUACACUUUCAUAUCAUUUUUGGGACUAACCUACUAACCGGUGGCCCAGCCUGAAUUGCUAAUUUUUUUUUUGCCUAUUUUAGUGUUUCGAAGAAAAGGAAUAUCAAACGGAGUCCAAACAGAAUGAAACCUUUGGGAGCGAUCUUUUUGGAACAAACGUGAUCCAGAGGACUUGGAGUGGAAGUCAAGAAACAAGCAAGGCAGCCACGAGGGUGCCCGACGCGCCCCCUACAGGUGGGCGCGCCCCCACCCUCGUGGGCCCCUUGAGCGUCCACCGACCUACUUCUUCCUCCUAUAUAUAUCCACGUACCCUGAAACCAUCGGGGAGCACCACGAAAAACUAUUUCCACCGUCGUAACCUUCUGUAUCCGCGAGAUCCCAUCUUGGAGCCUUCAUCGGUGCUCCGCCGGAGGGGGAGUCGACCAUGGAGGGCCUCUACAUCAUCUCCAAGGCCCUUCCGAUGAGUUGUGAGUAGUUUACCACAGACCUUCGGGUCCAUAGUUAUUAGCUAGAUGGCUUCUUCUCUCUCUUUGAAUAUCAAUACAAAGUUCUCCUUGAUCUUCUUGGAGAUCUAUUCGAUGUAACUCUUUUUGCAGUGUGUUUGUCAAGAUCUGAUGAAUCGUGGGUUUAUGAUCAAGUUUAUCUAUGAGAAAUAUUUGAAUCUCCUCUGAAUUAUUUUAUGUGUGAUUAAGUUAUCUUUGCAAGUCUCUUCGAAUUAUCAGUUUGGUUUGGCCUACUAGAUUGAUCUUUCUUGCAAUGGGAGAAGUUCUUAGCUUUGGGUCCAAUCUUGCGGUGUCCUUUCCCAGUGACAGCAGGGGCAGAAAGGCACGUAUUGUAGUGUUGCCAUCGAGGAUAAACAGAUGGGGUUUAUAUCAUAUUGCAUGAGUUUAUCCCUCUACAUCAUGUCAUCUUUUUUAAUGUGUUACUCUAUUCUUUAUGAACGUAAUACUCUAGAUGCAUGCUGGAUAGCGGUCGAUGUGUGGAGUAAUAGUAGUAGAUGCAGGCAGGAGUCGGUCUACUUGUCACGGAUGUGAUGCCUAUAUACAUGAUCAUGCUUAGAUAAUCUCAUAAUUAUUCACUUUUCUAUCAAUUGCUCGACAGUAAUUUGUUCACCCACCGUAAUACUUAUGCUAUCUUGAGAGAAGCCACUAGUGAAACCUAUGGCCCUCGGGUCUAUCUCUUAUCAUAUAAGCUUUCAAUCUACUUUUAGUUGCAUCUUUACUUUUCCAAUCUAUAUCAUAAAAUAACAAAAAAAUAUUUAUCUUAUCAUAUUAUCUCUAUCAGAUCUCACUUUCGCAAAUGGCCGUGAAGGGAUUGACAACCCCUUUAUUGCGUUGGUUGUGAGUUCUUGUUUGUUUGUGUAGGUGCGUGGGACUUUUGAGGAGCCUCCUACUGGAUUGAUACCUUGGUUCUCAAAAACUGAGGUAAAUACUUACGCUACUAUUGCUGCAUCACUCUUUCCUCUUCAAGGAAAAUCAACGCAAGCUCAAGACGUAGCAUCACACAACGAUGAUCAUGCUAAAUUAAAGAAAGAUCUUGAUCAUGCUCUUGUUGUCUCUCGUGUGCUCAAUUCUGAGAAGCCCAAACUCGGGGUUGACCAUGCUAGACUCAAGGAGGAGUUUGAUCUACUUGACAAGGCUCACAAGGCCUUAAAGAGAUCUCAUGCUAGCCUCAAAGAGUCUCAUAAUCAACUCCAAGUGAAGCUAACCAAGGAAAAAGCCACAUUUCAUCAUAUGGUUUUAAUUGAUAAUGUAAAUGCUACUAACCCGUGUUGUGAGCAUGUGCAUCUUGUGGAGAAGAAUUCCAAGUUGAAGGAGCAACUUGAGAAAGGCCUUAUGUCUUGCAUACAAGGUGAGAAGAACCUCAACAACCUUUUGAGCAAUCAAAAGGAAGUUGUGGGCAAGGAUGGGAUUGGCUUUGCACCCAAGUCCAAGAAGAAGAAGAAGAAUGACAAGACCAAACAACCUCCUCUUCUCAAGCAAACAUUUGUGAAGGAGGGAGAGGUUACUUCUAAGGAGAAGAAGAACAAUACGAAGGGUGGUGGUGUCAAGAAGGGCAAUGCCACUCCUUCCAACAAAGCCGGAGACUUUAACCCUUCUUAUGUGUUAUGUUGUGCUAGUGAUCGGCAUGUUUAUGCCAAAUUUGUUUGUUCUUCUUAUGAGUACAUUGAAUGGUCUAUUUGGGUUCCUAAGACCCUUGUUGCUAACAUCAAAGGACUCAUUACAAAAUGGGUACCUAAAACCAAACAUUGGUCUCUUGUAGGUGUUUUCUUCCGGUGGGGAACAUGGUUGCUCGAUAGUGGAGCCACAAAUCAUAUGACCGGAAGAAAGGACUUGGCGGUGGACGUGCACAAGGUUUCAUUUAUGCCCACCAAUGUCGAAUGGGGUGAUGCCUCAUCUUCUAAGGUAUUGGUUCUUGGCAAGGUUGUCAUUUCUUAUGAUCUCACGAUCGAGAAAGUCAUGCUUGUUGAGUCCCUUGCAUACAACUUACUCUCUGUUCGUCAACUUGCACUUAUGGGAUUUUCCACUUUCUUUGAUAUUGAUAUCGUGGCCCUCUUGUGGAGCAAGACUCUUAAAGUAGACUUUGUUGGGAAUGUCAAGAACGGUCUUUAUGUGAUUAACUUUUCAAAGCGACCCACUAAGACCGCGACAUGCCUAAUGGCUAAAGUUGACAUGGGAUGGCUUUGGCAUCGCCAUUUAGCCCACGUAAAUAGGAGAUCUUUGCAAAGUCUUCUCAAGGGGUACCAUGUCCAUGGACUAACAAAUGUUAGUUUUGCCAAAGAUCGUGCUUGCAGUGCUUGUAUCGAAGGAAAGUUACAUGAGAAGGCUCACCCUCCCAUGACUAUCAUCUACUCGAAGAGGCCAUUGGAGCUCCUUCACAUGGAUCUCUUUGGACCUCCAUCCUUUGAUAGUCUUGGGGGUAGAAAGUAUUGCUUGGUGAUUGUGGAUGAUUAUUCAAGAUACACUUGGGUAUAUUUCUUCAAGAGGAAGACUGUGACCCAACAAACUGUCAUCGACUUUGCAAAUGAAGCUCAACGUCAACACAAUGCAAAGAUUUUUAUGAUAAGAAGUGACAACGGCACCGAGUUCAAGAACUACACCUUGGAUGAGUUUCUUAGUGAUGAGGGGAUCAAGCAUCAAUAUUCCGCACCUUACACCCCUCAACAAAAUGGUUUAUCGGAGAGGAAGAAUCGGACAUUGAUGGACGCGGCAAGAACCAUGAUGGCAGAGUUCAAGUCUCCAUACAACUUUUGGGCCGAAGCCAUCACACCGCUUGUCAUGCCUCCAACUGGCUCUAUCUCCGCAAAGGCUUGAACACGACUCCAUAUGAGAUACUCACCGGCAACAAGCCCAACCUCAAGUACUUCCGGGUGUUUAGUUGUAAGUGUUUCAUUCUCAAGAAAGGUGUUCAUUUGUCUAAAUUUGAGGCUAGAGCUCAUGAGGGCAUAUUUGUUGGUUAUGCUACAAACUCUCAUGCUUACUGUGCCCUCAACAAGUCCACACGACUCGUUGAGGAGACGUGUAACGUGGAGUUUGAUGAGAAUAACGGCUCCCAAGUGGAGCAAAGUGUCACUUGUGAUGUAGGUGAUGAAAUUCCUCCCCAAGCCAUAAGAAGAAUGGGUGUUGGUCAUAUCCUACCCAUUGAGGAACCCCCUGUGACUGAAGGAGAAGGACAAUGUUCCACUCAAGUGGAACCAUCACCAACCCAAGACCCACACGCUUCCGAAGAACAAAGUGAAGGAACUCAACCAAAUGAACAAGAUCAAGGGCAAGAUCAACCUCAAGAUGGUGGUGAUCCACCAAGUGAUGCCCAAGGUCAAGUUCUUGCCAUCGAGCAAGUUCAAGAUCAAGGUCAAGAACAAGCUCAAGACGAUGCUCAUGAUGAUAAAGUUACCGCUCCUCAACUUUCUCUUGAGGAGAGAUUGGAGCGUCGUGCCGCCAAAAUUUCCUCCAAGCUCACUACCAAAGAUCAUCUCAUGAAGAAUGUGCUUGUAAGCUUAAGAAAGGGGGUAAGAACUCGUAGACAAUUAGCAAACUAUUGUGAGCAUCAUGCGUUUGUUUCUUGUGUUGAACCCCAAAAGGUCUAUGAGGCGCUCGAGGAUCCGGGUUGGCUUAAUGCCAUGCAUGAAGAACUCAACAACUUCGAGCACAACAAGGUGUGGAGAUUGGUGCCAAGGCCAAAGGAGAACCAUAAUGUUAUUGGAACCAAAUGGAUAUUCAAGAAUAAGCAAGAUGCCCACGGGAUUAUUGAUACGUCUCCAACGUAUCUAUAAUUUUUGAAGCAUUCAUGCUAUUUUAUUAUCUAUUUUGAAUGAUUAUGGGCUUUAUUAUACACUUUUCUAUUAAUUUUGGGACUAACCUAUUAACCGGAGGCCCAGCCCAUAUUGCUGUUUUAUUGCCUGUUUCAGUAUUUCGAAGAAAAGGAAUAUCAAACGGAGUCCAAACGGAAUGAAACCUUCGGCAACAUGAUUUUUGGGAAGAAUAUGAUCCUAGAGACUUGGAGUUCACGUCAGAAGAUCCUCGAGGAGGCCAGGAGAUAGGGGGGCACCCCCCCUACUGGGCGCGCCCCCUACUACCUCUUGAGCACUGCGUUGGAUUUCCCCGAAGAGGAGAGGAUGAUGCAGUAAAGUAGCGUAAGUAUUUCCCUCAGUUUUUGAGAACCAAGGUAUCAAUCCAGUAGGAGACCAUGCACAAGUCCCUCGUACCUACACAAAACGAUAGCAACUCGCAACCAACACUUAGGGGUUGUCAAUCCUUUCACGGUCACUUACGAGAGUGAGAUCUGAUAGAGAUAAUAUUUUUGGUAUUUUUGAUAGAUAGAUGCAAAGUAAAAAGUAAAGGCAAAGUAAAAACAAAGCAAGUAAAAUAAAGUGAUAUAGAUUGAUAUGAUGAGAAUAGACCCGGGGGCCAUAGGUUUCACUAGUGGCUUCUCUCGAGAGCAUAAGUAUUCUACGGUGGGUGAACAAAUUACUGUUGAGCAAUUGACAGAAUUGAGCAUAGUUAUGAGUAUAUCUAGGCGAUGAUCAUGUAUAUAGGCAUCACGUCCAAAACAAGUAGAUCGAAACGAUUCUGCAUCUACUACUAUUACUCCACUCAUCGACCACUAUCCAACAUGCAUCUAGAGUAUUAAGUAAAAACAGAGUAACGUCGUAAGCAAGAUGACAUGGUGUAGAGGGAUAAAUUCAUGCAAUAUGAUAAAAAACCCAUCUUGUUAUCCUCGAUGGCAACAAUACAAUACGUGCCUUGCAACUCUUUCUGUCACUGAGUAAGGACACCGCAAGAUUGAACCCAAAGCUAAGCACUUCUCCCAUUACAAGAACUACCAAUCUAGUUGGCCAAACCAAAAAGAUAAUUCUAAGAGACUUGCAAAGAUAACUCAAUCAUUCAUAUAAGAAUUCAAAGAAGAAUCAAAUAUUUUCCAUAGAUAAUACUGGAUCAUAAACCCACAAUUCACCGGUCUCAACAAACACACCGCAAAAACAAGAUUACAUCAAAUUGAUCUCCACGAGAGAGGGGGAGAACAUUGUAUUGAGAUCCAAAAGGAGAGAAGAAGCCAUCUAGCUACUAGAUAUGGACCCGAAGGUCUGAAGUAAACUACUCACACUUCAUCGGAGGGGCUAUGGUGAUGAUGUAGAAGCCCUCCGUGGUGGAUGCCCCCUCCGGUGGAGCUCCGGAACAGGCCCCAAGAUGGGAUCUCAUGGAUACAGAAAGUUGCGGCGGUGGAAUUAGGUUUUUGGCUCCUGUUCUGAUUGUUCAGGGAUACAUAGGUAUAUAUAGGAGGAAGGAGUACGUCGGUGGAUCUCCGAGGGGCCCACGAGGUAGGGGCGCGCCUAGGGGGGGCACCCUCCACCCUUGUGACCGCCUCUGGCGCUUCUUGGAGUAGGGUCCAAGUCUCCUGGGUCACGUUCGGUUGGAAAAUCACGAUCCCGAAGGUUUCAUUCCCUUUGGACUCCGUUUGAUAUUCUGUUUCUUCGAAAUACUAAAAAAGGCAAAAAAACAGCAAUUCUGGGCUGGGCCUCCGGUUAAUAGGUUAGUCCCAAAAGUAAUAUAAAAGUGAAAAAUAAAGCCCAAUAUAGUGCAAAACAGUAGAUAAAGUAGCAUGGAGCAAUCAAAAAUUAUAGAUGCGUUGGAGACGUAUCAAGCAUCCCCAAGCUUAACUCCUGCUCGUCCUCGAGUAGGUAAAUGAUAAAAAAGAAUUUUUGAUGCGGAGUGAUACUUUGGCAUAAUUUCAAUGUAAAUAUUCUUAAUUGUGAUAUGAAUAUUCAGAUCCGAAAGAUUCAAGACAAAAGUUCAUAUUGACACAAAAAUAAUAAUACUUCAAGCAUACUAAUCAAAGCAAUCAUGUCUUCUCAAAAUAACAUGGCUAAAGAAAGUUCAUCCCUACAAAAUCAUAUAGUUAGGCUAUGCUUCAUUUUCGUCACACAAAGAUGUUCCCAACUUCUAUACCCCCGAUGACAAGCCAAGCAAUUGUUUCACACUUAAAUAAUCUCAAACUUUUUCAACCUUCACACAAUACAUGAGCGUGAGCCAUGGAUAUAGCACUAUGGGUGGAAUAGAAUAUGAUGAUGGGGAUUGUGUGGAGAAGACAAAAAAAGGAGAAAGUCUCACGUUGACGAGGCUAAUCAACGGGCUAUGGAGAUGCCCAUCAAUUAAUGUCAACAUGAGGAGUAGGGAUUGCCAUGCAACGGAUGCACUAGAGCUAUGAAUGCUCAACAAAAAGAAAACUAGUGGGCGUGCAUCCAACUUGCUUGCUCACGAAGACCUAGGGCAUUUGAGGAAGCCCAUCGUAGGAAUAUACAAGCCAAGUUCUAUAAUGAAAAAUUCCCACUAGUAUAUGAAAGUGAUAACACUCAGAAAAAACAAGGUGCUACUUUGAAGCACAAUAUAUGAGACUCUCUACAUGAAGAACAAGGUGCUACUUUGAAGCACAAUAUAUGAGACUCUCUACAUGAAGAACAAGGUGCUACUUUGAAGCACAAGUGUGGAAAAAGAGAUGGUAGCAUUGCCCUUUAUAUAUAUAUAUAUAUAUAUAUAUAUAUUGGGCCUUUCUUUUUUUUCUUUUUUUUUUGGCCUUUCUCUUUUUUUUAUUUGGGCAAUGCUCUAAUAAUGAUGAUCAUCACACUUCUAAAAAUUACAACACAAGGAUUACAACUCGAAACUUAGAACAAGAUAUGACUCUAUAUGAAUGCCUCCGGCGAUGUACCGGGAUGGUGCAAUGAAUCAAGAGUGACAUGUAUGAAAAAUAAUGCAUGGUGGCUUUGCCACAAAUACGAUGUCAACUACAAGAUCAUGCAAUGGCAAUAUGACAAAAGUAAUGCAUGUCAUGAUGAUGAUGGUGGAAGUUGCAUGGCAAUAUAUCUCGGAAUGGCUAUGGAAAUGCCAUAAUAGGUAGGUAUGGUGGCUGUUUUGAGGAAGAUAUAAGGAGGUUUAUGUGUGAUAGAGCGUAUUGUAUCACGGGGUUUGGAUGCACCGGCGAAGUUUGCACCAACUCUCAAGGUGAGAAAGGGCAAUGCACGAUACCGAAGAGGCUAGCAAUGGCGGAAAGGUGAGAGUGCGUAUAAUCCAUGGACUAAACAUUAGUCAAAAGAACUCAUAUACUUAUUGCAAAAAUUUAGAAGUCAUCAAAAAUUCAAGUACUACGUGCAUGCUCCUAGGGGGAUAGAUUGGUAGGAAAAGACCAUCGCUCGUCCCCGACCGCCACUCAUAAGGAUGCACAAGCCAGGUACACUUCAUGUUUCAAAUUUGUUACACAACUUUAACCAUAUGUGCAUGCUACGGGAUUUGCAAACUUCAACACAAGUAUUUCUCAAAUUCAUAAUCACCCAACUAGCACGACUAUGAUAUUAUCACCUCAAUAUCUCAAAACAAUUAUCAAGCAUCAAACUAAUCUUAGUAUUCAAUUCACUCAAAAGAAAGUUUCACAUAUCUUGAACACCAAGUAUAUUAACAUUAAGCAAAUUACCAUGCUAUUAAAGACUCUCAAAAUAAUCUAAGUGAAGCAUGAGAGAUCAAAUAGUUUCUUUAAAACAAAUCCACCACCGUGCUCUAAAAAGAUCUAAGUGAAGUACUAGAGCAAAAAUUAUUACGCUCAAAAGAUAUAAGUGAAGCACUAUGAGCAAAACUAGCAAGCUCAAAAGAUAUAAGCGAAGAACAAAGAGUAUUCUAACAAAUUAUAAAUCAUGUAUGGCUCUCUCAAAAGAUGUGUACAUCAAGGAUGAUUGUGGUAAGCUAACAAGCAAAGACACAAAUAAUACAAGACACUCCAAGCAAAACACAUAUCAUGUUGGUGAAUGAAAAUAUAGCUCCAAGUAAAUUACCGAUGGAAGUGGACGAAAGAGAGGAUGCCUUUCGGGGCAUCCCCAAGCUUUGACUUUUUGGUGUCCUUGGAUUAUCUUGGGGGUGCCAUGGGUAUCCCCAAGCUUAGGCUCUUGCCACUCCUUGUUCCAUAAUCCAUCAAAAGAAUUCACCCAAAACUUGAAAACUUCACAACACAAAACUCAACAGAAAUGUCGUGAGCUCCGUUAGAGAAAGAAAACAAAAGACUACUUCAAGGUACUGUAAUGAACUCAUUCUUUGUUUAUAUUGGUGUUAAACCUACUGUAUUCCAACUUCUCUAUGAUUUAUAAACUAAUUUACUAGCCAUAGAUUCAUCAAAAUAAGCAAACAACACACGAAAAACAGAAUUGUCAAAAACAGAACAGUCUGUAGCAAUCUGUAACUAACGCAAACUUCUGGAACUCUAAAAAUUCUACCAAAAUAGGAAGUCCUGGAAAAUUUGUUUAUCGAUCAGCAUCAAAAAGAAUCAACGCAAAAGCACGUUCCUGUAAUUUAUCAUAAUUAUAUUCGUGCGUGCAAAGUUUCUGUUUUUCAGCAGAAUCAAAUCAACUAUCAUCGUAGGUUAUCCUAUAGGUCCUACUUGGCACAAACACUAAUUAAAACAUAAAACCACAUACAAACAGAAGGUAGAUAGAUUAUUUAUUCCUAAACAGAAGCAAAAACAAAAAAUACAAAAUAAAAUUGGGUUGCCUCCCAACAAGCGCUAUCGUUUAACGCCCCUAGCUAGGCAUAAAAACGAGGAUAGAUCUAGGUAUUGCCAUCUUUGGUAGACAAUUCUUCAAUGAGGCAUCUACCUCCUUUAGAAUUUUCUUUCUUCCUAGUAAUUGUCAAAUUUUCAGGCAAGAGAUCAAAAAAUUCAUCUAUAGCAAAUGGUUCCUUAAUGAUGGUAAAAAGAUUGGGAUGAACACUUAUAGAUUUAAGAUCCGCGGUUUCCGUACUAGAUGAUUCACCCUUAUUCUUAGGAACAUAGAUAAGCUUAGUAUUUUUAGUAGAGGAACUUGGAGUGUUUUGAACGGAAGAAAAAGUGGUUCCCAAGUUGGUAAUGAUACCCUCAAGUUUAUCGAUUCUUGUGGAAUCUAGAUUUAUUUUCUCAUUAACUAUGGGUUCUUUCUCUUUAAUAUUUUUCAAAGUCGUUCCUACCUUAGAUCCAUAUUGGGUAAUUUGAUUGUGGAUCUUUUUAUCAAGAUUUUCAAUUGAUUCAAUGGUAGCAACUUUAUUUUCAAUAGCUUCAAGCCUUUGCAUAACAUGCUCCAAAGUUAACGUAGUUCCAUUAAUCAAAAGGGGCGGUGAGCCAAAUAUAUCUAUUAAAGCAUUAUAAGAAUCAAAAGUAUGGCUACCCAAAAAAUUCCCUCCGGUAAUGGUAUCAAGGAUAUAUAUAAACCAAGGAUUAGCACCUACGUAAAAAUUGCGAAGAAGAACUGAAGUAGAUUGCUUCCUGGUGGAUCUAUUUUGAGCAUUGCAAAUUCUAUACCAAGCAUCUUUUAGAAUUUCUCCCUCCCUUUGCUUAAAAUUUAAAACUUCAUUCUCGGGAGAUAACGGAGAAGAUAAGAAACUAGUCAUGACGACAAGCAAACAAACGGGCUAACACACAAGCAAACAAAAAGGCAAAGGAAAAAAGGCAAACGGAAAUAGAGGAGGAGAUUGGGAAAGAGAGGGCGAAUAAAACAGCAAGGGUGAAGUGGGGGAGAGGAAAACGAGAGGCAAAUGGCAAAUAAUGUAAUGCGAGAGAUAGGGAUUGCGAUGGGUACUUGGUAUGGUUGACUUGCUUGCGUGAGCCUCCCCGGCAACGGCGCCAGAAAUUCUUCUUGCUACCUCUUGAGCACUGCGUUGGAUUUCCCCGAAGAGGAGAGGAGGAUGCAGUAAAGUAGCAUAAGUAUUUCCCUCAGUUUUUGAGAACCAAGGUAUCAAUCCAGUAGGAGACCACGCACAAGUCCCUCGUACCUACACAAAACGAUAGCAACUCGCAACCAACACUUACGGGUUGUCAAUCCCUUCAUGGUCACUUACGAGAGUGAGAUCUGAUAGAGAUAAUAUUUUUGGUAUUUUUGAUAGAUGGAUGCAAAGUAAAAAGUAAAGGCAAAGUAAAAACAAAGCAAGUAAAAUAAAGAGAUAUAGAUUGAUAUGAUGAGAAUAGACCCGGGGGCCAUAGGUUUCACUAGUGGCUUCUCUCGAGAGCAUAAGUAUUCUACAGUGGGUGAACAAAUUACUGUUGAGCAAUUGACAGAACUGAGCAUAGUUAUGAGUAUAUCUAGGCGAUGAUCAUGUAUAUAGGCAUCACGUCCAAAACAAGUAGAUCGAAAUGAUUCUGCAUCUACUACUAUUACUCCACUCAUCGACCGCUAUCCAGCAUGCAUCUAGAGUAUUAAGUAAAAACAGAGUAACGCCGUAAGCAAGAUGACAUGAUGUAGAGGGAUAAAUUCAUGCAAUAUGAUAAAAAAACCAUCUUGUUAUCCUUGAUGGCAACAAUACAAUACGUGCCUUGCAACUCUUUCUGUCACUGAGUAAGGACACCACAAGAUUGAACCCAAAGCUAAGCACUUCUCCCAUUGCAAGAACUACCAAUCUAGUUGGCCAAACCAAAAAGAUAAUUCUAAGAGACUUGCAAAGAUAACUCAAUCAUUCAUAUAAGAAUUCAUAGAAGAAUCAAAUAUUUUCCAUAGAUAAUACUGGAUCAUAAACCCACAAUUCAUUGGUCUCAACAAACACACCGCAAAAAGAAGAUUACAUCGAAUAGAUCUCCAUGAGAGAGGGGGAGAACAUUGUAUUGAGAUCCAAAAAGAGAGAAGAAGCCAUCUAGCUACUAGCUAUGGACCCGAAGGUCUGAAGUAAACUACUCACACUUCAUCAGAGGGGCUAUGGUGAUGAUGUAGAAGCCCUCUGUGGUGGAUGCCCCCUCCAGCGGAGCUCCGAAACAGGCCCCAAGAUGGGAUCUCGUGGAUACAGAAAGUUGCGGCGGUGGAAUUAGGUUUUUGGCUCCUGUUCUGAUCGUUCGGGGAUACGUAGGUAUAUAUAGGAGGAAGGAGUACGUCGGUGGAGCUCCAAGGGGCCCACGAGGUAGGGGCGCGCCCAGGGGGCGCCCUCCACCCUCGUGACCGCCUCUGGCGCUUCUUGGAGUAGGGUCCAAGUCUCCUGGGUCACGUUCGGUUGGAAAAUCACGAUCCCGAAGGUUUCAUUCCGUUUGGACUCCGUUUGAUAUUCUGUUUCUUCGAAAUACUGAAAAAAGCAAAAAAACAGCAAUUCUGGGUUGGGCCUACGGUUAAUAGGUUAGUCCCAAAAGUAAUAUGAAAGUGAAAAAUAAAGCCCAAUAUAGUCCAAAACAGUAGAUAAAGUAGCAUGGACCAAUCAAAAAUUAUAGAUACGUUGGAGACGUAUCACCCCCUGUCUCGUGGGCCCCUCGAGCACCUCCCGACUGACUUCUUUCGCCUAUAUAGUCCCACGUACCCUAGAAACAUUCACGGAGAAGAUAGAUCGGGAGUUCCGCCGCCGCAAGCCUCUGUAGCCACCAAAAACCUCUCGGGAGCCCGUUCUGGCACCCUGACGGAGGGGGAACCCAUCACCGGUGGCCAUCUUCAUCAUCCCGGCGCUAUCCAUAUGACAAGGAGGGAGUAGUUCACCCUCGGGGCUGAGGGUAUGUACCAGUAGCUAUGUGUUUGAUCUCUCUCUCUCUCUCUCUCGUGUUCUCUUUAUGGCACGAUCUUGAUGUAUCGCGAGCUUUGCUAUUAUAGUUGGAUCUUAUGAUGUUUCUCCCCCCUCUACUCUCUUAUGAUGAAUUGAGUUUCCCUCUUGAAGUUAUCUUAUCGGAUUGAGUCUUUGAUUUGAGAACACUUGAUGUAUGUCUUGUCGUGUUUAUAUGUGGUGACAAUGGGAUAUCACGUGCCACUUGAUGUAUGUUUUGGUGACCAACUUGCGGGUUCCGCCCAUGAACCUAUGCAUAGGGGUUGGCACAUGUUUUCUUGACUCUGCGGUAGAAACUUUGGGGCACUCUUUGAAGUACUUUGUGUUGGUUGGAUGAAUUUGAGAUUGUGUGAUGCAUAUUGUAUAAUCAUGCCACGAAUACUUGAGGUGACAAUGGAGUAUCUAGGUGACAUUAGGGUUUUUGGUUGAUUUGUGUCUUAAGGUGUUAUUCUAGUAUGAACUCUAUGAUGGAUCGAGCGAAAAGAAUAGCUCUAUGUUAUUUUACUACAAACUCUUGAAUAGAUCGAUCAAAAAGGAUAACUUUGAGGUGGUUUUGUACCCUACCAUAAUCUCUACGUUUGUUCUCCGCUAUUAGUGAUUUGGAGUGACUCUUUGUUGCAUGUUUAGGGAUUGUUAUAUGAUCUAUCUAUGUUAUUAUUGUUGAGAGAACUUGCACUAGUGAAAGUAUGAACCCUAUGCCUUGUUUCCUAUCAUUGCAAUACCUUUUAUGCUCACUUUUACCACUAGUUACCUUGCUGUUUUUAUAUUUUCAGAUUACAAAAACCUAUAUCUACUAUCCGUAUUGCACUUGUAUCACCAUCUCUUUGCCGAACUAGUGUACCUAUACAAUUUACCAUUGUAUUGGGUGUGUUGGGGACACAAGAGACUCUUUGUUAUUUGGUUGCAGGGUUGUUUGACAGAGACCAUCUUCAUCCUACGCCUCCCAUGGAUUGAUAAACCUUAGGCCAUCCGCUUGAGGGAAAUUUGCUACUGUCCUACAAACUUGUGCACUUGCAGGCCCAACAACGUCUACAAGAAGAAGGUUGUGUAGUAGACAUCAAGCUCUUUUCUGGCGCCGUUGCCGGGGAGGUGAGUGCUUGAAGGUAUAUCUUUAGAUCUUGCAAUUGAAUCUUUUUGUUUCUUGUUUUAUCACUAGUUUAGUUUAUAAAUGAAAACUACAAAAAAAUGGAGUUAAGUUUGUCUCAUACUCUUUAUCUUUUUAAUAUCUUUCGUGAGUUUGAUGGAAAGGAAAAUUGUGCUCAAGUGCUAGAAGAAGAAUGUUUUAAAAUGCUUGGUACUAAAUCUUCGAAUGAUGAGCAUGAUUGCAAUGUUGUUAGUAUGAACUCCUUGAAUAUCCAUAGUACUAAUGAUGAUUGCACUAGUUAUGAUGAAAAUGUCUCUUACAAGCAUGUUGAUUUUUGUGGAGUAGAAUGGGUUUGCAUGGACACACCAAAUAGAGAAAAUAGAUAUUGCAAGAGGCAUAAGUAUUAAAAAACUAAAGGUUUACAAGAAAGGCUUGAUGAUUGUGCUGAAAGAUUCAAUAUUUUUCGUGCCCCUUGUGAACUUUGCAAUGAACGUGGUCAUUUAAAUCUCCAAUGCAAAUUGUUUCAUGAUCGAAUCGUGUCCAAAAAUUGUGAUAACUUGAUUACCCUUGGGCAUCAUAAAGAGCUUAGUCUUCUUUUGGGGUAUGAAGAAAUUAAACGUAUAACUGAGGGUAUUGCAAAAUUUAAUCUUGAUAGAUUUCUUGAUUUUGAUCUAGAGGAUAUUUAUAUGUUUUGUGCGGUGAAUUGCAUUGAAAAUCCUUAUAUUGCCAAUUACAUAAAGAAAAGAAAGCAAACAGAAGAUGAAGAGAAUACUAGAAAGGGAAGAGACUUCCCAAUCUCCUCCUAUUAUUUCUUAUGAUGAAUCAGGUAACGAGAAGAAGCUUUCUAUUCAACCAAUCUCGUCAAUAAGGAGCUCAAAGAGGAAGGUUGAACCCACACAUAAUAUGAAGAAGAAGAAGAAAAGAAGAAGCAACAAAGGUAGAAAGGUAUCCCUCCUAAAUGAUGUUGCUCCUACUACUCAUUGUGAUGAUGAUAAUUGCUAUACUAUUGGUGCUAUCCAUAUUUUUAAUGAUGAGAGUGAUUAUGCUUAUGAUAUGAAAGGGCCCAAGCUUGGGGAAGCUAUGUUUGAUAAGGAUGAAAUAUUUGAGAAUAUAUUUGCUGAAAUUAAUGUUUUUCCCAAGCUUGGGGAUGCUAUGUUUAAUGAAGAUGAUAUUUUUAGCAUCCCAAGUUUUGAUAUGCAAAGUUGUUAUAAUGAUAGCAUGCCUCCUACUUAUGAUGAUUAUAUUGAUGAAAGUGGGUUUGGAAGAGUGUCAACUUUAGGAAGUAGUUAUCCCACUAUUUUGGAGGAUGUUGAAUCUUAUUGUGAUAAAUGUGAAAGUGGAUUUAGAAGAGUGUCAACUUUAUUUAGUGAUGAUUUCACUAUCUUGGGAGAGGUUUCAAUCGACUAUGAUGAGAACGAAAUUGCUACUUAUGAUGAUUAUUGUGAUGAAACUUAUGCUAUAAAAAGUAGUGAUGAUUAUAUUUACAAAUCUUGUCAUGAUUAUGAUUACCCUUUUUCUGAACAUUACUCUUUUAAUAUGGAAACAAUUUUUUGUGUUCAAGUCUCUUAUGAUACUCCCACUAUUCCGAAUGAGAAGAAUUUUGUUUAUGUGGAGAGUAGUAAAUUUUCUAUGCUUGUAGAUCAUGAAAUGAAUGCUUUAGGUUCUGUUUAUAUUGUUGAAUUAAUUCAUGAUGCUACUUAAAAUUAUUAUGUGGGAGGAAUUUAUGCUUGUAGGAAUUGCAAUAAUGUCAAGUUUCCUCUCUAUGUGUUGAAAAUCUUGAAGCUAUGCUUGUGUUACCUUCCUAUGCUAGUUGAUUAUUGUUCCCAUAAGUUGUUUGCUCACAAAAUCCCUAUGCAUAGGAAGUAGGUUAGGCUUAAAUGUGCUAGUCAUAUGCUUCAUGAUGCUCCCAUUAUGUUUCAAUUCUUAUCUUUUAUGUGAGCAUCAUUGUCAUCAUCAUGCCUAGCUAGAAAGGCAUUAAAGAAAAGCGCUUAUUGGGAGACAACCCAAUACUUACCCUUACCGCCUUUGUGUGUUCACAUGAUUAUGCUACUGUAUUAAUCAUGUUUUAAAGCUUUUGUUUCAAUAAAGUGCCAAGUAAGACCUUUAGGAUAGCUUACGGUGAUAGUUGUGUUGAUCCUGCUGAGAAUCAGAAACUUUUGCACCCAGUAAAUUAGUUUUGUUAAUUCACAGAAACGUGGUUAUAAUCUAAUUCGUUUUUCUCUGGAUUGGUACACAAAUUUCUUAGGACUUCCUAAUUUGGUAGGAUUUUUGUAGUUCCAGAAGUAUACCUUUGAUACAGAUUAUUACAGACUGUUCUGUUUUUGACAAAUUCUGUUUUCUAUGUGUUGUUUGCUUAUUUUGAUGAAUCUAUGAGUAGUAUCGGAGGGUAUGAACCAUAGAUAAGUUAUAAUACAGUAGAUAUUACAACAAUAUAAAUUAAUAAUGAGUUCACUAUAGUGCCUAAGUGGUGGUUUUAUUUUCUUAUACUAACGGAGCUUACGAGUUUUCUGUUGAGUUUUGUGUUGUGAAGUUUUCAAGUUUUGGGUAAAGAUUCGAUGGACUAUGGAAUAAGGAGUGGAAAUAGCCUAAGCUUUGGUAUGCCCAAGGCACCCCAAGGUAAUAUUCAAGGACAACCAAGAGCCUAAGCUUGGGGAUGCCCCGGAUGGCAUCCCCUCUUUCGUCUUCGUUUAUCGGUAACUUUACUUGGAGCUAUAUUUUUAUUCACCACAUGAUAUGUGUUUUGCUUGGAGCGUCAUUUUCUUUUGUUAGUAUGUGCUUUCUGUUAUUUAUAAUAAUGUUUUACAUCUUUAGUUUCAAUGAAAAUGUCAAGGAUGGCCUUUACCAUGCUUAUUUUGCUAGUAUACAUGUUGCUGUUUGAAAACAGAAAGUUUACCGCUGUUGCAAAAAUUCCCUAGAAAGGUCAGAGUACGAUAUAAUGUUGAAACUUUUUGCGUGAUGAGCUCUGAUAAAUUUACUACAGUGGGAAUUUUAUAUCAUAAUUUUUGGAGUUAGGAAAGUAUUGAUACUCUUGCAUUCUUUACAGACUAUACUGUUUUGGCAGAUUGCUGUUAUGGUUGCAUUGCUUGCAUAUUUUGCUUGUUUAAUGAUUCUAUUUGAGGAUAGGAGUAUUAAAUAUGAAGAGGCAUUUAGUAUGCAAUGUUGAAUAAUAAUUUUAGUGAUUUGUUACAGCAGAAAAUGAUAAGGUUUUGCAUUGGUUUAUACUAACCUAUCUCACGAGUUCUUGUUGAGCUUGUUGUGGAUGAAGCUUUUGAUAAAAAGAGAAACCAUGAUAUGAGAGGAAUUAAGGAGACACAAAAGUUCAAGCUUGGGGAUGUCCAAGGCACCCCAAGAUAAUAUUUCAAGAAGUCUCAAGCAUCUAAGCUUGGGGAUGCCCCGGUAGGCAUCCCACCUUUCUUCUUCAACCACUAUCGGUUAGUAUCGGUUGAGCCUAAGUUUUUGUUUCUUCACAUGAGUUGUGCUAUCCUUGCAAUGUCAUUUUAUUUUGCUUUGCUUGCUGUUUGAAUAAAAUACCAAGAUCUGAAAUUCUUAAAUGAGAGAGAGUCUUCGCAUAGUUACAUAAUUAUUUAGCUACUCAUUGAUCUUCACUUAUAUCUUUUUUGGAGUAGUUUGUCAUUUACUCGUGUGCUUCACUUAUAUCCUAUGAGUAAAUGGUUGAAUGAGUUGAAUGUCAUAAAUCUGAAAUUAUAAAUGUUUCAUUUGCUUAUCCAUUGGGGAGUAAUGACUUCACAUCUAAGAAGUAGAGGUUGUAAAUUUAUUGAAGGUUAGCAAGCAUUGUAUUGGUCAUUUGAACAAUUCAUGAAAUAAUAUUGAAGGAAGAGAGAUUUCACAUAUAAAUAUACUAUCCUAGACAUCUUUUAUAAUUGGGAGCACUCAUUAAGUAUGACAUGCUAAAGAGUUGAUGUUGGACAAGGAAGACAAUAUAAUGGGUUAUGUUUUCGCACAUCUCAGUUAAAGUAUAUUGUCAUGGAUCAUUCAAACAUGUUGAGCUUGCCUUUCCCCCUCAUGCUAGCCAAAAUUCCUUGCACCAAGUAGAGAUACUACUUGUGCUUCCAAAUAUCCUUAAACCCAGUUUUGCCAUGAGAGUCCAUCAUACCUACCUAUGGAUUGAGUAAGAUCCUUCAAGUAAGUUGUCAUCGGUGCAAGCAAUAAAAAUUGCUCUCUAAAUAUGUAUGAUCUUUUGGUGUGAAGAAAAUAGCUUUAUACGAUCUUGUUAUGGAAGCAAUAAAAGCGACAAACUGCAUAAUAAAGGUCCAUAUACAAGUGAAAUAUAAAGUGACGUUCAUUCGCAUUAAGAUUUUGUGCAUCCAACCCUAAAAGCGCAUGACAACCUUUGCUUCCCUCUGUGAAGGGCCUAUCUUUUACUUUAUGUCUUUUACUUUUAUGCAAGAGUCAAGGUGAUCUUCACCUUUCCCUUCUUCAUUUUAUCCUUUGGCAAGCACCUCUAUUGGAAAGAUCCUUAUAUAUAUAUAUAUAUCCAAUUGGAUGUAAGUUAGAAUGAACUAUUAUUGUUGACAUCACCCCAAGGUGAAUACGUUGGGAGGCAACACCAUAAGCCCCUAUCUUUCUUAGUGUCCGAUUAAAACUUCAUAAUCAUUAGUAUUGCGUGAGUGUUAGCAAUUGUAGAAGACUAUAUGAUAGUUGAGUAUGUGGAGUUUGCUAUUCCUGAAAAUAAGAUGAAUUGCAAUUGUUUGAUGACUGAGAAUGAAGUUUGCUAGUUUUCAAGAAAGUUUAUGGUCUAUGCUUUGACAUGUGAAUUGCUUGUUACUUUAUCGUGAGAAGUUUUAUGAGAUGAACUACUUUAUGACAUAUUAUCAUGCUAGAAAAGGUGAUUGAAAUUAUCAUUGAUCAAACUUGUGCACCUUCUAGCAUUCACACUUCAUAAAGUCUUUCUUUUAUCAUUUACCUACUUGAGGACGAGUAGGAAUUAAGCUUGGGGAUGCUGAUACGUCUCCAACGUAUCUAUAAUUUAUGAAGCAUUCAUGCUAUUUUAUUAUCUGUUUUGAAUGAUUAUGUGCUUUAUUAUACACUUUUAUAUUACUUUUGGGACUAACCUAUUAACCGGAGGCCCAGCCCAUAUUGCUGUUUUAUUGCCUGUUUCAGUAUUUUGAAGAAAAGGAAUAUCAAAUGGAGUCCAAACGGAAUGAAACCUUCAGCAGCGUGAUUUUUGGGAAGAAUAUGAUCCUGGAGACUUGGAGUUCACGUCAGAAGAUCCUCGAGGAGGCCAGGAGAUAGCCCCCCCCCCCUACUGGGUGUGCCCCCUGUCUUGUGGGCCCCUCGAGCACCUCCCGACCGAGUUCUUUCGCCUAUAUAGUCCCACGUACCCUAAAAACAUCCACGGAGAAGAUAGAUCGGGAGUUCUGCCGCCGCAAGCCUCUGUAGCCACCAAAAACCUCUCGGGAGCCCAUUCCGGCACCCUACCGGAGGGGGAACCCAUCACUGGUGGCCAUCUUCAUCAUCCCGACGCUAUCCAUAUGACGAGGAGGGAGUAGUUCACCCUCGGGGCUGAGGGUAUGUACCAGUAGGUAUGUGUUUGAUCUCUCUCUCUCUCUCUCUCUCGUGUUCUCUCAAUGGCACGAUCUUGAUGUAUCGCAAGCUUUGCUAUUAUAGUUGGAUCUUAUGAUGUUUCUCCCCUCUCUACUCUCUUGUGAUGAAUUGAGUUUCCCUCUUGAAGUUAUCUUAUCGUAUUGAGUCUUUGAUUUGAGAACACUUGAUGUAUGUCUUGCCGUGUUUAUUUGUGGUGACAAUGGGAUAUCACGUGCCACUUGAUGUAUGUUUUGGGGACCAACUUGCGGGUUCCGCCCAUGAACCUAUGCAUAGGGGUUGGCACAUGUUUUCUUGACUCUCCGGUAGAAACUUUGGGGCACUCUUUGAAGUGCUUUGUGUUGGUUGGAUGAAUUUGAGAUUGUGUGACGCAUAUCGUAUAAUCAUGCCCAUGGAUACUUGAGGUGACAAUGGAGUAUGUAGGUGACAUUAGGGUUUUUGGUUGAUUUGUGUCUUAAGGUGUUAUUCUAGUAUGAACUCUAUGAUGGAUCGAGCGGAAAGAAUAGCUCUAUGUUAUUUUACUACGAACUCAUGAAUAGAUCGAUCAAAAAGGAUAACUUUGAGGUGGUUUCGUACCCUACCAUAAUCUCUACGUUUGUUCUCCGCUAUUAGUUGCUUUGGAGUGACUCUUUGUUGCAUGUUGAGGGAUUGUUAUAUGAUCUAUCUAUGUUAUUAUUGUUGAGAGAACUUGCACUAGUGAAAGUAUGAACCCUAUGCCUUGUUUCCUAUCAUUGCAAUACCUUUUACACUCACUUUUACCACUAGUUACCUUGCUGUGUUUAUAUUUUCAGAUUAUAAAAACCUAUAUCUACUAUCCAUAUUGCACUUGUAUCACCAUCUCUUCGCCGAACUAGUGCACCUAUACAAUUUACCGUUGUAUUGGGUGUGUUGGGGACACAAGAGACUCUUUGUUAUUUGGUUGCAGGGUUGUUUGAGAGAGACCAUCUUCAUCCUACGCCUCCCACGGAUUGAUAAACCUUAGGUCAUCCACUUGAGGGAAAUUUGCUACUGUCCUACAAAUCUGUGCACUUGCAGGCCCAACAACGUCUACAAGAAGAAGGUUGUGUAGUAGACAUCAACUAUCAUUCGCAACAAGGCUCGUUUGGUGGCACAAGGCUACUCCCAAGUCGAGGGUAUCGACUACGGUGAAACCUUUGCCCCCGUUGCUCGCCUUGAAUCUAUAUUUGUUGAUUGCUUAUGAUUCUCAUCAUAACUUCAAGUUGCAACAAAUGGAUGUGAAGAGUGCUUUUCUUAAUGUCCCUAUUAAUGAGUUGGUGUAUGUCAAACAACCCCUGGGGUUUGAGGAUCCCAAGUUCCCCAAUCAUGUGUACCAACUUGAUAAGGCGCUCUAUGGCCUUAAAGAAGCCCCAUGUGCGUGGUAUGAGCACCUUACCGAGUUAUUGCAAGAUCGUGGGUUUGAAAUUGGGAAAAUCGACCCCCACUCUUUUUACUAAGAAGGUCACAGGGGAGUUGUUUGUAUGCCAACUAUAUGUUGAUGAUAUUAUCUUUGGUUCUCCUAACAAAGCUUUCAAUGAGGUGUUUGCCGCACUCAUGACCUCGAAAUUCAAGAUGUCCAUGAUGGGAGAGUUGAAGUUCUUUCUCGGGUUCGAAAUCAAACAAAGAAGAGAAGGAACCUUCAUCAACCAAGCCAAAUACACUCAAGACAUGCUCAAGAGAUUCAAGCUAAGUGAUGCCAAGCCGACUUCUACACCAAUGCUUGUCAAAUGCCAACUUGACGUUGAUGCCAAUGGUAAAGCGGUGGAUCAAAAGGUAUAUCAUUCUAUGAUUGGCUCCUUGCUUUACCUUUGUGCAUCUAGACCGGAUAUCAUGUUGAGUGUGGGAAUUUGUGCACGGUUUCAAGCCUCACCUAAGGAAAGCCACUUUGUGGCGGUCAAGCGAAUCUUUCGAUAUUUGGCUCAUACCCCAAACUUUGGCUUAUGGUGCCCUAGAGGAGCAAACUUCAAUCACGUGGGUUUUUUGGAUUCAGAUUGGGCGGGAGACAAAGUGGAUAGGAAGUCAACUUCUGGAGGGUGCCAAUUUCUUGGUUGCUCUUUGGUGAGUUGGUCUUCUAAGAAGCAAAGUUGUGUGUCUCUCUCCUCCACCGAAGCCGAGUAUGUAGCCGCCGGUAGUUGUUGUGCUCAACUUCUAUGGAUGAGGCAAACUUUAAAGGAUUACUGUGUCAUUGGGUGACAAAGUGCCUCUUUGGUGUGACAAUGAAAGUGCCAUCAAGAUUUCUCUCAAUCCGGUGCAACACUUCAAGACAAAGCAUGUUGAGAUUCGGUAUCACUUCAUGCGGGAUCACAUUAGGCGAGGGGAGAUUGAGCUUAACUAUGUCAACACUCAUGAUAACCUUGCAGAUAUUUUCACGAAGCCUUUGGAUGAAGCAAGAUUUCGCGAGUUAAGGCAUGAGCUAAAUAUCAUCGAUUUGAGCAAUGUGGCUUGAACCUUUGCACACCCCACCAUACUCAUCUUGUUGUCUUGUUUAUGUGUAAGCAUGGACAUAAGGGGAGUGUUGUUCUCUUAAUGAACUCUCCCUCCCCCCAUUAUGCAUAAAUUGAUCAACUCUUUCACAUUUUGAUGGUACAUGUGCUUCAAAGACGGGUUUGGGUCAUGGGCCCAAGGAUAAUUCUUCGCGGUGCCAUACCGAUUGACUCAAACAUAGGUGGCUCCGGCCACCGCCCUCUCUUCAUGAGAGGUUUUGGUUCGUUGUUUGGUCCUCUCUUUCUCCAUGCUUUUCUUUUGGAACUUGUUCGUGGUUAAGUUGCUUCUUUUGUGUUCUCUAUUGUGUGUCCGUUUGCUUGAAGUUUGUAUUGCAAAGGCCUUGCAUUUAUCUUUUGCCAAAACCUGCACUUUCUUGGGCAUGCGGUACUACCGUGGCAUGCCAUGGUACUACCGCUGGAGGUGGGUGGCUCCUAUGCUUGCACAGCUGCGACCACGACACGGUACUACCGCUUCCAGCGUGGUAGUAAAAUUUUACUGCCGCUGGAAGAGCAGUACUACCGCCCAGAGUGCGGUACUACCGCCGGGGCUGUACUACCACGAUGAUCUGCGGUACUACUGUGCUAUCAAGACCGCGUGGGGGUUAAGCGCGGGUGAUACGUCUCCAACGUAUCUAUAAUUUUUUAUUGUUCCAUGCUGUUUUAUUAUCAAUCUUGGAUGUUUUAUAAUCAUUUUAUAGUGAUUUUAUAUCAUUUUUCAUACUAACCUAUUGACAUAGUGCCAAGUGCCAGUUGCUGUUUUCUGCAUGUUUUUUACAUCGCAGGAAAUCAAUAUCAGACGGAGUCCAAAUGCCACGAAACUUUACGAUGAUUUUUUAUGGGCCAAAAGGAAGAAGUUGGGACCUGGUUGCACCUGGGGGGAGUACCGAGGAGGGGACAACCCACCAGGGCAUGCCAGGAGGCCCAGGCGCGCCCUGGUGGGUUGUGCCCACCUCGGGUGCCCCCCGGACCGCCUCUUUCCUGUAUAAAUACUCCAAUAUUCCAGAAACCCUAGGGGAGUCGACGAAAUAUUCAUCCAGCCGCCACAGAGUCCAGAACCACCAGAUCCAAUCACGGAGGGGUUCACCACUUAUAUUGGUGCCUCUCCCAUGAUGCGUGAGUAGUUCUUUGUAGACCUUUGGGUCUGUAGUUAGUAGCUAGAUGGCUUUCUCUCUCUCUCUCGCUGAAUUCUCAAUACAAUGGUCUCUUGGAGAUCCAUAUGAUGUAACUCUUUUUGUGGUGUGUUUGUUGGGAUCCGGUGAACUUCGAGUUUAUGAUCAAUUAUAUCUUUUUAUAUCCAUGAAUUAUUUGAGUUUCUUUGAUCUCUUAUAUGCAUGAUCUCUUAUAGCCUCGUAUUUCUCUCCGAUAUUUGGGUUUUGUUUGGCCAACUUGAUCUAUUUAUCUUGCAAUAGGAAGAGGUGCCCGGUAGUAGGUUUGAUCUUACGGUGCUUGAUCCCAGUGAUAGAAAGGGAACCGACACGUAUGUAUCGUUGCUACUAAGGAUCAAAAGAUGGGAUCUAUAUCUAUGCAAUAGAAAAAUGGAUCUUGUCUACAUCAUGUCAUCGUUCUUAUUGCAUUACUCCGUUUUUCCAUGAACUUAAUACAUUGGAUGCAUGCUGGAUAGCGGUCGACGUGUGGAGUAAUAGUAGUAGAUGCAGGCAGGAUUCGGUCUACUAAUCUUGAACGUGAUGCCUAUGUAGUGAUCAUUGCCUGGAUAUUGUCAUAAUUAUUUGAAGUUCUAUCAAUUGCCCAACAGUAAUUUGUUUACCCACCAUUUGCUAUCUUUCUCGAGAGAAGCCACUAGUGAAACCUACGGCCCCCGGGUCUUCUUUCUCAUAUAUUUGCCUUGCGAUCUACUUUUUCCUUGCGUUUAUUUUCAGAUCUAUUAAACCAAAAAUACAAAAAUACCUUGCUGCAAUUUAUUCUUAUUUAUUUUAUUUGGCGUUCGAUCUAUCAAUCUACUACAAAUUUACCUCACGUCCUUUGCCUAUCUUGAGGUGCCGUACCCCGAAAGGGAUUGACAACCCCUUUAACACGUCGGGUUGCAAGGUGUUGUUAUUUGUGUGCAGGGGCUGUUUACGUUGUGUUGCUUGGUUCUCCUACUAGUUCGAUAACCUUGAUUUCAUAUCUGAGGGAAAUACCUACCGCCGAUGUGCUGCAUCAUCCCUUCCUCUCUGGGGAAAUACCGAUGUAGCUUCAUCGACAUCAAAAGGAAUUUCUAGCGCCGUUGCCGGGGAGGAUCUUCAACAUAACCAGGUUCCUAAUCACAAAUCUCAUCUCCUUGCAAUUUACAUUAUUUGCCAUUUGCCUCUUGUUUUCCUCUCCCCCACUUCACAAAAAUUUGCCGUUUUAUUCGCCUCUCUUUUUCACCGAUCUCUUGUCUCUAGUCCCGAUGGCUAGCGUCCCUACUCCUCCUUUGUCACCAAAAUUUGAAGUUCUUUAGUUCAAGCAAAGACAAGGAGAAAUUUUGAAAGAUGCCUGGUAUAGGCUUAUGGAAUCGUAUCGUGUUUCCAACCUAAAGGGGGAUGCUAAGGUUUUCCUUCGUAAUUUUUUACAUAGGAUUAACUUUGCAUCAUAGACAACUUCUUGAUUUUGCCGCUAAAGGAAAUUUUAUUGAGCUUGAUGCAAACGCUGCCUAUGAAAUCUUGGAAGAAAUUUUGGGAAUUCCUCCUCAAAAGAAGGGGUUUUCCUUUACCCCUGAGGGAGUUCAAAUGUUGGACAAACUUGGUGAUUUACAUAAACAUAUGGUUGAAAUACAAAAAUAUAAUGAACCCCUCAAGCACCUCAAUGGUAGUAUCAAUCACAUGAAUACCUUGAUUACUCUUUGCAACAAGCGAUUGGAUAUUUUGGAUCUUAAGAUGGUUUCUUUUUUGUAGAAUUUAGGGAAGCGUAAAGAGCCUCCCGGGUUUGAGAAAACCCUUACAAAAGUUGCCAAAACUUCGGAUGACAAAACUUAGAUCCUUGCUUUAUGCCUAGCUAAGGGCGUAAAACUAUAGCACUUGUUGGGAGGCAACCCAAUGAAUAAAAUUUAUUUUUGCUUUUUUGCUUUCUUUUCUUGUGUGUUAAACACAAUUAUGCUACUGGUAUGAUUGUAUUUUUGUGUUUUAAUUAGUGUUUGUGCCAAGUAAAGACUUUAGGAUCUUCUGGGCUGAUAGUUGUUUGAUCUUGCUGAAAAAGACACAAACUUUGCACUCACGAAAAUAUUUUUAAUAAAUCACAGAAAAGAGAUUUUGCCCUGAUUCUUUUUGUAGAAGAUUAAUAUACAAAUUACGCUGGUCUUCCGAAUUUGGUAGAAUUUUGGAGUUCUAGAACUAUUCGAAAGUUCCAGAUUACUACAAACUGUUCUGUUUUGACAGAUUCUGUUUUCUUUGUGUUGUGUGCUUAUUUUGAUGGCUCUAUGGUUUUCUUUAAUGAGUUUUUGCCAUAGAAAAGUUGGAAUUCAGUAGAUAUAAUACAAAAACAAAAUAUGAAUUGGUUUGAUACAACACUUAUAGUAGUGGUUUGCUUUCUUUUACUAACGGAUCCCACAAGGGUUUUGUUGAGUUUUGUGUGAUUGAAGUUUUCAAGUUUUGGGUUAUCUUACGAUGGAUGAAAGAAGGAUAGAAGAGCCUAAGCUUGGGGAUGCCCCGGCAUCCCAAACUAUUAUCCAAGAAUGAGCAACCAACUAAGCUUGGGGAUGCCCCCGAGUGGCAUCCCCUCUUUCUUCUAACGACCAUCGGUAUUUUACUCGAGGCUAUAUUUUUAUUCGUCACAUGAUAUGUGUUUUGCUUGGAGCGUCUUGUAUGAUAUGUGUCUUUUCUUGUUUUAUUUUGUGCUUUAAGUCAUCAAUCCUUACUGGACACACCUAUUUGAGGGAGCCAAAAUUAUGUCAUGACUUGUUAGAAUUGCUCUCUAUGCUUCACUUAAUUUUUUAUGAGCAAUGGACUUGCUCUAGUGCUUCACUUAUAUCUUUUUGAGCACCGUGUGCUUAAUAUUUUUGAAGAAAUGCUCUCUUACUUCACUUAGAUUUAUUUGAGAGUUAGUAAAAUUUUGAAUAAAUUCUCACUUGCUUCACUUAAAUUAUUUUGAGAGAAAGAAAAUAUGUUAUGCUCAUGAUCUUCACUUAUAUUUGUUUGAGCUUAUGAAAAGCAACACAUGAAAAUUAGUCCCAAAGUGAUAGAUAUCCAAGAAGGAUAAAGAAAGAAAGAAAAAAUAUGCCAUGAAGAUCAUUGGACAAAAUAAACUUGAUUCUUAGUAAUAGUUUUGAGAUAUGAUGAUGUGAUAUGUGGGUUAUGUUGAUGAGUAACUGUGCUCUAGUAAGAAUAUUGGUGUUAAGGUUUGUGAUUCCCUAUGCAUGCACGAAAGUCAAUAAUCAUGCAAUGAAAAUUAUAUCCUACUUGUGGUGCAUUAUUCGGUGUUAAUUAUGCUUAAUGCUUGCUUAUGAGAUUAUUCGUUUCUUGGUUGGUCGCUUCUCAAUCUUUUUGCUAGCCUUCAUUUUGCACUAAGGAUGACCUCUACUUGUGCAUCCAAAAUCCUUUAAACCAGUUUUGCCACAUGAGUCCACUAUAUCUACCUAUAUGCGAUAUUCUUUUGCCGUUCUAAGCAAAUCUGCAUGUGCCAUCUCUAAUUUUCAAAAUAAACUUCUCUUUUGUGUGUUUGUUUUGCUCGCGGAACGGUAACAGGUGGCUAAUAUUUUGCAUGCUGGAUGUGUUAUUCUCACGAUGAGUGUUUAUUCACUUGUCAUUGCACGAGAGUAAGGCAAAGGUUUUAGGGAUGCCCAGUCCCGAAAUGCAAAAAUGAAUUUACUUUAUGUUGCCAAAUAAUAAAUUCCUUGGAAAGUGUUGGUAUGGAGGGCACCCGUGGAUACGGUUAGCCAUGGAAAGUGAAAGUAUCAUGGAAAAAGGAAUAAACUUUAUUUUCUGUUUGAGAACUGCCUAUGGCAUAUCUAGCAUGGAAAGUGUUCGGAACUAUGAGUCGUUUUCGUUGGUGGGAUGGAUACACCUCCCAAAAUGUUUUUAUCUCUAAUUUUUCACUUUGAGCUCUGGCACCUCUACAAAUCCCUACUUCCCUUUGCGAAGGGCCCUUCUUUUACUUUAUGCAAUUUUUAUUUUUGAAUUUGAGUCUCCAUCCUCUCUUAUAUAAGCACCAACUAGGUGGCAAUAUGAUCAUACUUAAGUAUUGGGUGUAGCUAAUAUUCGAGUGUGUUUCAUGAAUGGAUCAAUGUUUGAGCAUGAUGGGCUAGGGAUACCUUGUUUUAGCAUUGAUUUUUUGAAGACAUGGUUGCUUGUUGAUAUGCUUAAGUAUCUAAAUUAUUAUGUCAAAACUAGACUAUUGCUUUGAAUCACAUAAAAGUCCAAAUGUCCAUGCUAUAAAGAAAAGAAUAUGAUAUGACAUGAUAAACAAGACUCCACAUCAAAAAUUCUAUGUUUAUCACAUACCUACUCAAGACGAGCAGGAGUUAAGCUUGGGGAUGCUGAUACGUCUCCAACGUAUCUAUAAUUUUUGAUUGUUCCAUGUUCUUUUAUUAUCAAUCUUGGAUGUUUUAUAAUCAUUUUAUAGUCAUUUUAUAUCAUUUUUGGUACUAACUUAUUGACAUAGUGCCAAGUGCCAGUUGUUGUUUUCUGCAUGUUUUUUACAUCACGGGAAAUUGAUAUCAGAUGGAGUCCAAAUGCCACGAAACUUUACGAUGAUUGUUUAUGGACCAAACAGAAGAAGUUGGGCCCUGGUUGCACCUGGGGGGAGUCCUGAGGAGGGGACAACCCACCAGGGCGCCCCAGGAGGCCCAGGCAUGCCCUGGUGGGCUAUGCCCACCUCGGGUUCCCCCGGACCGCCUCUUUGCUCUAUAAAUACCCCAAUAUUCCAAAAAACCUAGGGGAGUCAACGAAAUAUUCAUCCAGCCACCGUAGAGUCCAGAACCACCAGAUCCAAUCUAGACACCAUCACGGAGGGGUUCACCACUUCCAUCGGUGCCUCUCCGACGAUGCGUGAGUAGUUCUUUGUAGACCUUCGGGUCCGUAGUUAGUAGUUGGAUGGAUUUCUCUCUCUUGCUGAAUUCUCAAUAUAAUGGUCUCUUGGAGAUCCAUAUGAUGUAACUCUUUUUGCGGUGUGUUUGUUGGGAUCUGAUGAACUUCGAGUUUAUGAUAAGUUAUAUCUUUUUAUAUCCAUGAAAGUUAUUUGAGUUUCUUUGAUCUCUUAUAUGCAUGGUCUCUUAUAGCCUCGUAAUUCUUCUCCGAUAUUUGGGUUUUGUUUGGCCAACUUGAUCUAUUUAUCUUGCAAUGGGAAGAGGUGCCGGGUAGUGGGUUCGAUCUUACGGUGCUCGAUUCCAGUGACAGAAAGGGAACCGACACGCAUGUAUCGUUGCUACUAAGGAUAAAAAGAUGGGAUCUAUAUCUACGCAAUAGAUAAACGGAUCUUGUCUGCAUCAUGUCAUCGUUCUUAUUGCAUUACUCUGUUUUUCCAUGAACUUAAUACACUAGAUGCAUGCAGGAUAGCGGUCGAUGUGUGGAGUAAUAGUAGUAGAUGCAGGCAGGAUUCGGUCUACUAAUCUUGGACGUGAUGCCUAUGUAAUGAUCAUUGCCUGGAUAUCGUCAUAAUUAUUUGAAGUUCUAUCAAUUGCCCAACAGUAAUUUGUUUACCCAUCGUUUGCUAUCUUUCUCGAGAGAAGCCACUAGUGAAACCUACGGCCCCGGGUCUUCUUUCUCAUACAUUUGCCUUGCGAUCUACUUUUUCCUUGCGUUUAUUUUCAGAUCUAUUAAACCAAAAAUAAAAAAAAC
rnacentral:lncRNA from 1 species